CGCAAGAAUUGGUCAUGAGAUUUUGAUCAUUUGUCUAUUUUUACUUAACUAUAUAAAAUAAUAAGUAUGUGAAGAUAUUCAUCCCUUCAAAGCCAUUCUUCAUAACUUCCAUUUCCAUCUUCAUUUCUUCUGGUCGUACUUUUUCAUUCGGAUAGGUGAGAUACUUUUUAACGAGUUUAUCCAGAAUAAAAACUCCAAACACAAAAUCAACCGUCCUCUCAAUGAUCUUCGUCGUGUUUGUACAAAGUUUCGACGUGUGACUGCUGGAAGUUGCAAUGAAUUUACAUAUCCUGACCUGAUACUCAUCAUAUAUCUUCUACCUUUUCAUAAUGAAUUAGGCCUAUUGAUUUACAAAUAUUAAUUCAAAUCCAAAUGUUAUAAUUAUAAAUCAAUGAAUUUUGAUUAAAAUUUUCAAAAAGAUAACUCUUAGUACAUAGAAGAAAACAUGCCAUAUUUUUACAAAAGUUCUUACGAAAAUAUUUGGUAAAAAUAUUUUUAACCAAUUUUUUAUGUAAUUAUGACAAAAAAUAGAAGUGGUAGAAAAUAGGUAAAAAGUUUCAUACAAAAAAAUAUUAAAAAGUAGUAAAAUUUAUCCAACUAAUAACCUACCAAAUUUAUAUUCGUAGAAAAUACGGUUAAAAUUUGGUAAGAAAGUGGCAGGAUCCAAUUAACUAUUAUGCUGGUGAAAAUUUUGUAGAAAAUUUGUAAGUAAGGAGUUUUUUGUUAUUGAUAUAUACUAGUUGAUUACCCGUACCAUGUACGGGGUAAAUAUUAACCACAAUUCUUUUAUUCGAAUAUGUAAAUAUAAUAUAUAUAAAUACAACUAUAAAAAUGUUAGCUGAUAUUUAUAAUUGCAAAUAUAUAUGACAUUUAUGAAAUUAUAAUAAUAAUCAAAUUUAUAUUUAUUUUAUAAUACAAUUGCAUAAAUUAUAUGAUUUCAUAAUUAAAUUUAGUAGUAUUUUUAUAUGAAUAAAAUUACACAUUAAAUACAUUAAUUAAUAUGUUUUAUCUAACCGGUCUAACAUCAGACUAAGAUACUUUGCUUUGAUAUAAAAACAUAUAAAUUAUAAUAUGUAUGAAGAUUUUAUUAUUAUUAAAUAUAUAAUAUGAUUAUUUUUUUAACAAAAUUAAGAUUAAAGAAAGAUGAGAUAAAAAUAAUGUUUAGUAACAUAAUUAAUAUUAUGUAUUAAAUUUUAUAAAUAUUUUGAUAAGAAAUAGAAAGAGAGAGAAUAUCUUUACAAUUAAAUGUUUGAGUAUUAAAUAUAUAUUUGAUAUAAACUAAUCUUUAACCAAAUUAAUGUUAAUGGCAUAUGAUGUAAUUAAUCUAGUAAGUUGAGUCUAAUUUAAAAAAUCAUUGAGAAGUUUUUUGAGAUUGACACAUCAGCAUGGCAAAGUUGUUAAUAACAUUUUUUUUUAAGUGUCCUUCUCAAAUAAUAAUAGAAGAUAAAAAAUAUAUAUAUAUAUAUAAUUGUAAGUGAGGAGUGUUUUGGCUAUAAGUAAGAGAGAGAGAGAGAGAGAGAGAGAGAGAGAGAGAGAGAGAGAGAGAGAGAGAGAGAGAGAGAGAGAGAGAGAGAGAGAGAGAGAGAGAGAGAGAGAGAGAGAGAGAGAGAGAGAGAGAGAGAGAGAGAGAGAGAGAGAGAGAGAGCCCUAUAUUGUUUUUGUACGUUGUUUUUUUUUUGAAGGAAGGUUUGUUCUUCUACGUUGUUCAUCGAGUAAUAAGAGAGAUAUGAUCUUGCAUCACCUUUUAUCGAAAUGAUUUUGAAUCUUAACACUAAUUAACAUAUGUCAGGUUCGACAUUUUUUUAUUUUAUGUUUUUAUACGGUCUAAUUUUUUUUGUAAGCCGGCACAAUUAAUUAACUUGUUGAUAUCACAAAAACAUAACUGUAUAUUCGAGACGUGUAACCGGCCGAUCAAUGUUAAACCUAUUGGAUUUGCAAAUGACAAACAAAAAACUACUUCUAAACAAAUUUGAAAGCACAAGAUAUAUUCUUAAUUGCAAAUGAUGCAAGUCCAAAUGCAUCCAUUGAUGAUGCCAAAUAACACACAAAUUUGGAAAAAUGCAACUCGUGAACGAGGCAAAGUAUACAAGUUUAGUUUCAUAAACAUAUGCACAUGUAUCAUUUUAACUAACUCAAAGACGCACCCAAAACUAAAAGAAGGAAUAUGAUUGGAUUUAAGUAGAAACUGCAAGUGAAAUUUAUAAAUACAUGAAAUUCAUAGUAAACAGAAUUGUGUUCAACAAAACGAAAUGUGAAUACGUACUAAAAAUUGGAAUCAAUCCGGAAAAACAAUAAUUUUUUAAUCUAGAUGUAAACGAUCAAAUUGUAUAUAAUAUCAUAUAGAUAUUACUCAAUACAAUUACUAUUAUCUUUGGUUCACAUAGAUGACCAAGUCCUCAUUUUUUCUUGAGGCUAGUAUUCAUAAAACAAACAAACAAACCAACUUAACCGGAUCCAAAUGGGAACAUCGUCCAUCCUCGAAGUUAAUAAACCAAACACAAAAUCAUCACAAAUUAAAUGGGACAAUCUAAACCCAUUAGUGAAGAGUCUUGAAAAGAUGACCUUUUUCAAGAAUUAUGCCCAAGAAACCUGAACAUCCUCCGAAAUUCGCUGCAACAUUUCGGCUCCUUCAUAUGCAUACAUUUUUUGACUUUCGUCCAACCCAUUGGACAAGUAUAUCUCAACUCUUUCCAAUACAGGUCCAGACCCACGCCCACUCCCGGACCGAAUCAGAUACUUGAGCACCACGGUUUUAAGUGUCUUCCUCAUACAAUUGUAUGUUAUGUUAUACAGCCAAUAUACUCGUGGAUCAAUACCCUCAUAUGAUGUAAAUUUCUGAGAAAUAUGAAAUCAUUAAAUGUCGUGUGGUUUAAUAAUAUGAAGAGAUCCAUAUAGAUUUCGCUUUUGAGGAUAUAUAAAUAUACAUUGAAACCAAAUAACCAAAAAACGUACCGUGAUAGGGCUUGGAGGAAGCAUAUCGAAAGUUAGGGAUUCCAAGUCUGGGCACUUCUCGAGAAAGAGCCUAAUUCCAUGGAACUCUCUCGGUUCUAACUUUGUUUUCAGCACUAAAUGUUGUGUCUUCACCGGUCUCAGCAUAUGCAUCGGGUGGUCAGAUUCGUGAAUCGCCUUCCACAAUAAUAAUUAAAAAAAAAAUAUACACACAUGUUACUGUCAAAAUUACAUUCUAAACAAUUUUCUGUAUACACAAAUUUAACCUAAUAUUUUUGGGGUAUUACUCGAUUUUCAUUAGAUCACUAUUAUCAUACCGCGAAUCAAUAAUCUUAAAAUGCGCCAGUAAUGACUUUAAUAGGAUUAGAUCAUGGUAAGGAAAGAAAUAUAGUCACCUAAUGGAAGUAUUUUGUUCAAGAUAGCAAAGAGUUUGAUAAACACUUAACCUAAUAAUUUCAAACGACUAAUAGCUAAUCGGUUUAUACAACAUCUAAGUCUUCAGCAUACAUACUUUCUGUUCACUAGGCAACAAUUACAACCACAUCGCAAAUAUAUAGUUCAAACUUUCCAAGAACUUAUACUGAAUGACCGAAUUAAUGUGCAGCAUUAUAAUGUAAAUCUUAGACUUAUAAAAUACCUGAAGGAGAUAAGAGCAGACUUUUAAGGUCUUAGCAGAUCGAAGACUAUUAAGCAUAUCACAAAGCGCUAGUGCUUGUACGUUUUUGUCGUCCAAAUCAUCAUCAUAUUCACCUAAUACCCCAAAAUCCAAGUGAACUUCUUUCAUGUUCGGAUUCAUUCUCUCGAAAUGAAAGCAGAAAAUAUCUCCCGAGUACUUGAAGAUAUCAACUUUAGGCAGGUUAAAGGAACAAGUAGUCCAAGGGAAGUCACAGUUCUUAAAGGCAACUUCUCUCAUAUUCCCAGCUAUCUUCUUGAAAUCAAGUACUCCCCAACAUUCACUGACACUUAGACUCUCAAGCCUCGAAGCCUUUGAUAGCAAAGACUCGAGAUUUUCCAGUCUCAUAUACCCAAAAGAUAAGCUUUUGAAAAUCCCCAUGUCUUUGAACCUCAAGGGAUCAAACAUCUUGCACGCGUUAACCGUCAAAGACUCUAGAGACGUUAGGUUGUAAACGCUCUCGGGAACUUCGACAGUGAAAUCCAAAUAUUCAUGCACAUCACGAGUGGUCUUCCAAAUAGGUUUUGAGAAAUCGAGGAUUAGCUUCUUGACUUGUUUUCCGACGGCGAACGCGAUCAGGGACUCGAUGACACUCAUGUAAAUAGAAGGACGAGAGAUGCUAAUCUCGAAACUUUCGACGUCUUGAUCUUGGAUUCUAUCGACCCAUUGACACGCAUAAUUAAUAAAUGCAUGCCUAGCAGAGAUCCAGGAUGUUUCGUCGAGAGUAGGGUUCACGAAGUCGGAUUCCUUGAAAGAAACAUUAUGCAAUCCUUGAAAGGCAAGCAAGAAAUGAUCAGGACCAGAAGUACAUCAGGUAGGUUCGAGAAUCUGUCUGGUUGAGCACUCGAAUCCAUUGUUGUAAGAGAAAUAUAGAGAAUUUUGAGUUAAAGAAAAGAUUUUCUGCGGAUACUGAUGGUUUAGACGCCACAGAUAGUGUAUCUCUUCUCUACGAUGUAUAUAUGUUUAUUUUUAUUUAUUUUUACUAAAGAGUCUUUAUAUAUGGCAUGUUAGGUUUUUUUCUAAACCUAUUCAACUGAGAGGCGCGUGGAUGAUAUUCUUCCAUAAGUGGUACUACCUCAUAUAGACAAGACUGUUACUCAAAAAGGAGGAUGACUCAUUCACAGACUGGCACUUAGUCAGAUGAACAAAACAUAUCAUCAUCUCUCUCGUCUCAUGCCCAUGUGCUUCGACAAUCUAGUAAAAAUUUGGGCUUAUUUUUGUGUGUUCUCAAUAGAAAACUUAAAUGGAAGAACAUGCAAAAACAAACAAAUAAAAACUUACAUGGAAGAACAUGCAAAACUUCUCGGGUAAUAUUACACUCAAAUACUCAAUCGUGUGGAAUCUGUAAAUCAAUCGAUCUUUUGAAGUGAGAAAGAACUGUGACGGCAAUCGAGAAACUCGAGGAUCGAAAUGGAGAAUAUUCAUCUAACCGAUUUGGUUUGCGACAUAGUGAAGACCUCAUCACCUUCGAAGACAAUGUAGAUCAGAGUUUAGUUCCACCAUUAUAAACUGCUUCCUAUAUUUUUCUAUGGCCUCCACCAUCAAUUAUUUAACAAAUUAACCCUAAAUCCUUGCUAUAUCUUUUGCAUCUUCCUUACUCUUUAGUAAUGAAUUUUCAAGAACCCUUCAAAAAAUAGCUUUGUUUUUAUAAUCAACGAAGACCUGUAAAAUAAAGGAUUCUAAAUAUUAAUUAAAGAAGGGGGGAGGGGGGUCUGCCCUGCUAGGGUGCUAUAUAUAAUUUUUUUGGUUAUUUUCUUUUGAGCUUUCGACAAAGAUAUCUAGAUUAAGAUAUAUGCUUUGAGCUAAGGUACAUUCCCUAGAUUAGUGACAUUUGAUUCCGGUACCGGUUUCCAUAGAAAAAAAGAACGUAUGCUUUGAAAAUAUUAGAUUGUCGUUGACAUUAGUAACAUAUCUAUCAACUUUUUAAUUUUAGCUAAAAUUUAUAAACGUUUUUUUUAUAUUAUGAUAGACAUUGUGAAUUUUGUUUUACAAGAAAUUUGUCUUCGAAAAAUCUUAUAGGCUAGUAAAUUAUCCAAUCUGUUAUAUGUUUUCUUCGUAAUGAACCUUAAUUGAAAUAAUCAUAAAGGUACAUAACAAAUAUCAAAAAAAAAAAAAAAACAGAACCUUACUUGAGAAAGUCAACUUUUCAAGUUGAUAAGUCCCUGCUAGGACUGAUCACUACUGUAUAUCAAAGACAAUAGCUGAAGAACACAAAAAAAAAAGUGUUUCUUUUUCAGUAGUUUAGAAACCCUUUCUAUUUGUUUUUUAUUUGAUAUAAAUAUUUGGAGUACACCUCCUAACAACUUGAAAACUGGAAAAGAAGCUUGGAGUACACGUUGAAACACAAGAAAACUUAGUCGUGAUGAUAUUUGGCAUUGGGCUUAGGGAUGCGUAUAGGCCUUGUGUCUCCAUUCGCAUCACAAGGGCUGUGCAGAAUUAUCCUCGCAAGAUUUGUUUUUCUCUGCAACAUGGUGGCUCCCUCACGAGCCACCCUCAUUUCAUCUUUCUCCAGCCCAUUUGGCAUGUAGAGGUCCACUCUCUCAAGCGAGCGCACCCACCCAGACCCAGUCCGAACCAAAAAGUUUAGCAUAUGUAGCUGGUCGAGGCUACCAGUAAAUUUCUUAAACACCACAGCCUUGAGAGUCUUUAUCAAACACUUGUAUGAAAUGUUUUGAAGCCAAUGUGUUUGUGGAUAGAUGCCACGAUAUGAAAUAGUUUCCUGCAUUAAUUCAAGUGAAAAUCAUGAGCUUAUAUACCAUGAGCUUUACUAAUUAGAAAAAAAGAUUUAAGAAAACAUGACAUCAAUAUUUUAUUUGAAAAUAGACUUUAUAUUUCGAAAAUUAAUUAAUAUUCAAAACUUAAGAAAUUCUAAGACUAAAUUUUUCAUUCUGAAAACUAAAACCUAAACUGGAAUCAUAAACCCUAACAUCAAAAAAUUAAAUUCUAAACUUAAAAAAUAUCCAUAUACAGUAAUCUUACCGAACAAAAGCUUGGAUUUGGAGGAACAUAAUCGAAAGUUAGUGUUUGCAAAACCAAGCAUUUAUCAAAAAGGAUCCUAAUGCCCAUAAACUCCUUAGGAUGCAGCUUCGUUCUCAACACCAGAUGUUGUGCUUCCAAAUCACGAAGCAUAAAAUCCGGAUCGUGACAUUCUUGAAUCACCUUCCAUAAGAAAAAUACACACAUACAUGGCUCGAUCAAAUUUUAUGUCUACCAAUUUAACUUAGAGACUUAAUUAAGGGUACCAUCUACUCUACUUUUGUAAAGAUCUACACCAUCAGAACUACGUAUUCAAUAUAUUCUUAAUCCUUUUACGCUACAAUUAGAACCAUAUUGCAAAACAUAAAUAUCAUCUUCUAAAAAUGAUGUAAAUAGCUGGUAGCGAGUGUGCAUUAGUGAAAGAGUGUCUUGUUAAACUACGUACCUGAAGGAGAUAAGGGCAAACCGUUAAGGUCUUAGCAGAUCGAAGUUCGUUAAGGAGAUUACAAACAAUUUCUCCUUGAGCUAUGUGUGACUCUGUUGGUUCAUCUUCAUACUCUCCCUCUACACCAAAAUCCAAGUAUACUUCUUUAAUCUCCAUGUUCUCUUUCUCGAAAUCAAGGCAGAAAAUAUGUCCCGAGUACUUGAAGAUGUCUACUUUUGGCAGGUCGAAGGAGAAAGACAUGAGAGGAAAGUCGCAGUUCUUAAAGGCAACUUCUCUCAUAUUCCCAACUAUCUUCUUGAAAUCAAGUCCCCAACAUUCAUUGAUACUUAGACUCUCAAGCCUCGAAGCCUUUGAUAGCAAAGACUCGACAUUUUCCAGUCUCAUAUAUCCCAAAGAUAAGCUUUUGAAAAUCCCUAGGUCUUUGAACCUCAAGGGAUCAAACAUCUUGCACGCGUUAACCGUCAACGACUCUAGAGACGUUAGGUUGUAAACGCUCUCGGGAACUUCGACAGUGAGAUCCAAAUAUUCAUGCACAUCACGAGUGGUCUUCCAAAUAGGUUUUGAGAAAUCGAGGACUAGCUUCUUGACUUGUUUUCCGACGGCGAACGCGAUCAGGGACUCGAUGACACUCAUGUAAAUAGAAGGACGAGAGAUGCUAAUCUCGAAACUUUCGACGUCUUGAUCUUGGAUUCUAUCGACCCAUCGACACGCAUAAUCAAUAAAUGCAUGCCUAGCAGAGAUCCAGGAUGUUUCGUCGAGAGUAGGGUUCACGAAGUCGGAUUCCUUGAAAGAAACAUUAGUGGUUUGAAGACAGAGAUACCUCCACCGCUUGGAGAGGACACUGGUCUUUAUGCAAUCCUUGAAAGGCAAGCAAGAAAUGAUCAGGACCAGAAGUACAUCAGGUAGGUUCGAGAAUCUGUCUGGUUGAGCACUCGAAUCCAUUGUUGUAAGAGAAAUGUAGAGAAUUUUGAGAAAAAGAAAAGAUUUUCUGCGGAUACUGAUGGUUUAGACGCCACAGAUAGUGUAUCUCUUCUCUACGAAUGUAUAUAUGUUUAUUUUUAUUUAUUUUUGCAAAAGAAUCUUUAUAUAUGGUAUGUUAGGUUUUUUUCUAAACCUAUUCAAUUGCGAGGCGCGUGGAUGAUGUUCUUCCAUAAGUGGUACUACCUCAUAUAGACAAGAGUGUUACUCAAAAAGGAAGAUGACUCAUUCACAGACUGGCACUUAAUCAGAUGAACAGAACAUAUCAUCUCUCUCGUCUCAAGGCCCAUGGGCUUCGACAAUCUAGCAAAAAUCUGGGCCUAUCUUUGUGUUUUCUCAAUAGAAAACUUGCAUGGAAGAACAUAUGUCCCGAGUACUUGAAGAUGUCUACAUUUGGCAGGUCGAAGGAGCAAGACAUGAGAGGAAAGUCGCAGUUCUCGAUGACCAAUUCUUUUAUUUGCCCCUCUAUCAUCAUGGAAUCAAGUUCCCAACAGUUUUUGAUACUUAGACUUUUGAGCAAAGGAAACUUUGAUAGCAAACAUUCAACCUUUUUGAGACCAGUCCAGCCGAUAAAGAGGCUUCUUAGCAUGUCUUGGUUUGCGAAUUUCAAGAGGUCAAACCUGCAUGCAUAAAUAUACAGAGAUUCCACGGAUUUUUGACGGUAUAAGCAUUCUGGUAAGUCAAUAAUAACUUCACGCCAUGAUACAUCACUAGUAGUUCUCCAAGCAGGGUUUGAGAAAUCAAGAACUAACUUGUUCACUUGUUUUGAGAUAGCAAAUUCGAUUAGGUAUUCGAUAUCUGUCCCUAACCCCACUGGAUUGGAGUGAUGAAUCUCGAAACUGUUAAUGACUUGACCUUGAAAUCUAAACACCUAUUGACGCAUGUAGUUAACAAAAGAAAUCCUAGCGACUUUGUUGCAGCCAAUCCGGUUCACGUACUCAGAUUCUUUGAAAGCAAUAUUUUUGGUUUGAUGGCAUAGGUUCCUCCAACGCUUAGAAAGAACGCUGGUCUGAAUACAUUUCUUGAAAGACAAAUGAGAGAUGAUCAUAAUCAAAACUAGAUUUGGUAGACACGAUAACCGGUCUGGUUGGCUACCUGAAUUCCUUUCCUUAGUAUGCAUCUUGGUUUUUAAUCAAAAUCCUGCAAUGGACAGAUUUCAAAUCAAUUAUCUCAUUUGCAUCUACAGUUUUGAAAAAACAAAACAAUGCCUGAAUUAAUCAUAUGUAAAUCAACCUUUGGUAAUAAGAAACAGAAAAAAACAAGGCCGAGCAAAAAAAAAACAACAUAAGUAAAUUAUUUACAUGUAAUAAUAACAUAUCUUGUAACAUUAAAACCAGAGAAAUAAAUAUCUAACAAGUAUAUAAAAAUGAUUUCUUAUUUUCUUAUAACAAAAAGUGACACACCUUAGAUUUUCUUCACUUAUGCUUCAGGAAAUUGAAGGAUUUUUUUCUAAGGAGUUUUGUCUAUUAUUUUUUUGUUAAAAGAUUUUUUUCAGGAGUUUUGUUAGGUUGCACUAUAUGGUGAUGUUAUUAAAUACAUGUAUGAAGCAUCUCUAUAAGAAGAAAGAAAAAGCAAAUCCUUAGAUUCUACGAACAAAUUUUUCUUAUAAUGCUAAUGUUUUAUAUUUGGUGAGUUGCAAACAACUUUCUUUACAUGAGUAAUAUGAGAUCAAUGGUGAGUUGAAUCAGAUUUAUUGUAUAUUAUAUACUUAAAUAUAAACCAAAUAUACUAUUUGAAAAAAACAAAGAACUUGAACAGAUAAAAAUAUACUAAUGUAAAGAUGAGGGUAGGUGGUUGACUCAUUCAUUAGGAAAAAUUUUAAUCCCAUCUUUUUAUUCCGCUCCUACCAGUUUUUUUUUUCUUUUUUGGUAAAAACCUAAAAAUAAAUAAAUGAAUUUUAAUUGAUUACUCAAUUUUGUGGUCAAAAUUUUGACCAAUUUGAUUUUAUUUUCUCUAAGAAUUUAUACGUACAGAAUAACCUUAUUUGAGAAAGAUAUUCAAAGAUGAAGAUAAAAUAUAUUGACCAAAUUUUUGUAGUUGGUACCAUAACUAUUUAAAUUUUACUUUGUAUUCUUAGCACCUUCGGUUUCUUGAAUUCUUAGCACCUUCGGUUUCUUGAAUCUGUAAGACUUAAAAAAAACACACUUAUCUUUAGUGACUCGAUUGUCGUGAUCGUAAACGCAACAUGGCAAAUAGACAGAGAGGUGGUGACGAAUGUCUAUGUCAGAACUAGGGUCUGAAAAAAUCAAGAACUACGAUCUUGACUUUGUUUACAAACUUUGAAUUAGACCAGAGAAACGAUUGAUUUUUUGAAACCAUUAGGGUUGGGGAAGUAAUGUUUGAAUCUGUUGAUGAAGAAAUUACAGAGAAAUCUCGACAUGCAUUGGUGCAUUCGAAAAAUAAAGAAAACCCUAUCGAGUGUGAUGGUAUCUUCAUAUAGAGAGAUUCACAAACUCGGAUUCCUUAAAGAUGAUGUUCUUGAUGUCACGAGAAAGAUUCCUUCAUCACUUCAAGACAAGGCUCAUUUGUGCAGUUUGCUUGAAGAGCAAGAAACAGAUGAUCUCAAUCAGAACUUCAGGUGGUAAAUCCAAUAUUGAUGUCUUUGAUCUUCUUCCUGUUAACUGUUAAGAGAGUUCUGUAAAAAUUUAUACCUUUUAAUUACACUAGUUUCGUAUUUCAUCAGAAUUACAUACCCUUUUUUCAAAUUGUUUAGUAAGAGAUUAACAUAGUAUAACUCUUUUGACGAUAACUAGAUGAUUCAAUUCAAUACACUGCACGCCAUGUUUUUAUUUUGAAUUUUCAAUAGUUGUGUUCUUCCACGGUGUAUGAUGCUACAUUUUAGAGAAGAGGGCAUAUCUUUGGAAUAUCAAUUCAAUAAAAUCAUUAAACCCUAUCAAACUCAAACUAUGGAUUUGCAAGUGAGAGAAACUUAUAUUUGAAAAAGCAAAAUUGAAGGCUCGCCCUACAUUCUCAUUGUUGUCAAAUUACAACAAACCAAAUCAAAUACUAAAGAAAUUGAGGGGAGCCACAUUAUUCAAGGUGGGGUCAUUCGCCCCCAGUAAAAUUAAAAAAUUAAUAUAUUUUUUAAAGUUUUAAGUCAUUGCUCCCAUUCAUAAUAUCAUAUUUAUUUUCAUUUGCCCUCAUUGAAAAAAAAUUCUGGUUCCGCACAUAUUAGAAGAAAAGAGUCUUAACUUAGAUUGUAUAUUGUAUACGGAUAUUAGACAAAUAUCUAUUAUUUUGUUUUGGCCACAUAUAAGACCAAUUAUUAUGAUUGCGAGACUUAUUCAUAAAAAAAACCCCCCCGGAGAUACCAAAAUAUCCAACUUCAACGUAACCAAACUUGAAACAUCACUAAAUGGGACAAUCAGAGAACCAUUAGAGAAAAGUCUUGAAAAGGUCAAUUUUUCAAACGCUGUGUAGAAUUAUCUUUGCACGGUUCGUCGUUUUCUGCAACAUCAUGACUUGAUCACGAACCCACCAUUCCCCUAACUUCAUAACUUUAUCACGUACGUGAACGUCGACCCUUUCCAACAGGUCCCCAGUCCGUAUAAAAUGCUGCAACAGCUGUAACUGGUCGAAGCUACCAAUAAAGUUCUUAAACACAACGACCCUGAGAGUCCUUCUCAAACACUUGUAUGAAAUGUUUUGAAGCCAAUGUGUUUGUGGAUCGAUGCCAUGAGAUAAAGAAGUCCUCUACCAAAUGUCAAAUGAAAAUAUCAUGAGCAGAAACAAACUUUUGAGAAAAUUUGACAUAUAUACAGAAAAUACACCUCAUAUCUCUAAAAUAUAUAGAAUAGAUUAAAAAUAAAUCAGAAACCCUAAAAACUAAAUUCUUAUUUCUGAAAACUAAAUUUUAAACCUAAUCCUAAACCCUAACCUCAUAAAAUUAAAUGUGAAAACCCUGAAAACUCAACGAUAAAAGUGAGAAUGAUAUAUUUUUUUGACCUUAAAAGAAUUUUUAUUGUAUUUAUUUUACCAUUUUUAUUAGCUACUCCAGAAAAUAUAUAUCCAAAUAUAGUAGUAAUGUGACUAGUUAGAUAUGUAUUCUAUAUAUAGUAGCAAUCUUACUGGAGAGGCGCUUGGCUUUGGAUGAACAUGGUCGAUAGUAAGUGUCUCCAAGUCGGGGCAAUUAUCGAGAAGGAGCCGAAUGCCCAUAAACUCUUUAGGCUGCAUCUUUGUUCUCAGCACCAAAUAUCGUACAUCCACAUCACGAAGCAAAAAAGCUGGAAUGUCACAUUCUUGAAUCACCUUCCAGUAAAGAAAAAAAAAACCAAAACAUGGCCCGAUCAUACUUAGUGUCUAGCAAUUCAACAUAAUUAAGUUUUAUAAAGAGUAUUAUACUAUUAUCUACUAUAUACUUUCACAGAAUUUACAUAUUAGAACUAUGCACCCAACGUAUUCCCAAUCCUUACACCACACUUAAUACACAUCGCUAAAAUAAUAUUUUUUUCUAAAAGUGAUGUAAUUAUUUAAUUAAAUAGACUAAAAUCGGUAGUGAUUGUGCACAAAUAUAAUAUUUUGUUCAUAUAUAUAUAUAUAUAUAUAUAUAUUUUUUUAUUUUUUUUAAGUCAAAAGACAUACCUGAAGGAGAUACGGACAAACGGUUAAGGUCUUAGCAAAUCGACAAGCGUUAAGAAGACGAGAAACAAAUUUUCCUCCUGCUUUGUGUAAGAAGAUUGCAAAUGGGUCUGUAUCAAGUUCUUUCUCUUCAUCAAAAUUCAAGUAUACUUCUUUCAUCAUCGUAUUCACACUCCUGAAAUGAAGGCAUAUCAUAUAUCCUGUGUACUUGAAGAUCUCUAUAUUAGGCAAGUCAAAAGAACAAGACAUCAGAGGGAAGUCGCAGUUCACGAAGACCAAUUCUCUUAUCUGCCCGGCUAUCAUCAUGAUAUCAAGGUCCCAACAGUGUUUGAUACUUAGACUCUCGAGCAAAGGACACUUAGGUAGCAAAGAUUCGACUUGUUUGAGACUUAUCCAACUGAUGGAGAGGCUUCUUAGUAGUUCUGGGUUUGUGAAUCUCGAGGGGUCAAACCCACACGCGGAAAUACACAAUGACUCUAGGGUUCUUAGACGGUAAACACUUGCUGGCAAUUCAAAAACAACUUGAAGCAACGAUGCAUCAAGAGUGGUUCUCAAAGAAGGGUUGGAGAAAUCAAGAAUUAACUUCUUCACUUGUCUGGAGACUGCAAAGUCGAUUAGGUACUCGAUAUCUGCCACAAAUCCCACUGGAUUGGAGAGAGAAAUCUCGAAACUUUCAAUGAUACCUUGAAAUCUAGCCACCCAUAGACGCAUGGAGCGAACAAACAAAAUCCUACCGACAUUGUUGAUAUAGUUGGGUUCCUUAAAGGCAAUGUUUUUGAUUUCAUAGCAUAGAUUCUUCCAGCGUUUUGAUAAAACACUGGUCCUGAUGCCUUCAUUGAAGGGUAGCAAAGAGAUAAUCAGAAUUAGAAGUACAUCUGGUAGACUCGAUAACAUGUCUGGUUGGCUUCCGGAAACCCUUUUCGUAUCCAUCUUGGUUCUUUAUCGAAAUCCUGCAAUGGAUAAAACUAAUCAUAUCUUUUGCAUUUGCAAUUUCUACCAAAAAAAAAUGUCUGUAGAAGCAUAUAUAAAAUCAAUCCGCCUUAGACAAAGUACAAAAACAAAAGUCCAUAUAAUCAAAAGUUUGGGCUAAUGAAAUUUCAUUCAAAAUCAAAAUUGCUUGAUCCGCAGGAUUUUAGUAUUUAACACUCAUGGAUCCGAAUUAUACUUGAAAAAAAAAGAAACAAUCUGGAAUUGUAAUAUUUGGAGAUGAGUAACAGGAAAAGAACAAUUUCAAACCCCUCACAAUGACUAAUAAAUACUGCAUGAACAAACUAUAUAUUGUGGUUCGAUUGAAAAAUCAAGUAAGACAAAAUAAGUGGCCAUCAGUUUAAAGCCUAUACAUCGCAUGUGGUGUUGCAUAUGAUUGUGCUAUGUUUUGAAUAAAAGCAUUGGCACAAAAUUUACAAUAAUAAUAUCACAUAACAAGUGUAUAAGUAUAACAAAACGUACCUGAGAGCUGAGGCUUUGUCCCUAACGCUCCUGAUUGGUGAAGAUUUCAAGUAUGUUUUUUUUUUCAGGUAUUUUGUAAGUUGCACUCUUUGUUAAUGUUAAUAUAUAGGGUUAUGCAUGAAGCAUCUCAAUUAAGAAACAAAAAAUCGAAUCUUUAGAUUCAACGAAUAAAUAAAUUCUAGGAUGAUUUUGUGUCGAUUUUGAUGAGUCAUUGUGAACUUGCUUAAUAUGUAAAGGAUAAUAUGAAGUUACAUUGUAAUUUUUUCGUAAAUAUAUUUUUUGGUCUAAAAACUUAAAUCAACGGGGUCAUGGAGGAGCUGGUAUACUUAGAUAGUCAUAUAGAACAAAUAUACUGUACUAAUUUAUAGUGAUUGGGAGAAAUUUGUAAGUUGUAAACCAAAAAAAAAAUUAAACAAAUGUAAAGAUAAGGGGUAGGUGAUGGAUCAUUUGGAUAUGUAUUUUCAAAACCAUGUGUUAAAAUCGAAUCCCAUCUUCUACGUCCUACCAACUUACUUUUUUCUUGGUAAAAGACUUAUUUGGUAUUAAAUAUUGAAUUAAACUAAUAUGUAUUUUUAUUUGUUUUUGUGGUCAGAAAUUUGACCAAAUUAUUCUUUUUUUCGUAAAGAAUCUAUAAAAGCCCUUACUUUGGAAGGAUAUCCAAGGAGGGGAAAAAAUAUUGACCAAGAGAGAUUCAGUAAUGGCAGCCUCAGGCACCGUUGCUACAUUCAGAACCUCCGUUUCUUCAGCUCCUUCGUCAUCGUCUUCCUCUUCCCAGUUGACCCAUUUGAGAUCGCCCUCCAAAGCUCUCAAAUUUACGCCUCUGCCAUCGUCUCGCUCAAGGUCAUCUUUCUCCGUCUCUUGCACUAUCGCCAAGGAACCGGCCGUUCUCAUGGCCACCGGAUCUGACCCGACCCUGUGGCAAAGACCCGAUUCCUUUGGUCGGUUCGGGAAGUUUGGUGGGAAGUAUGUCCCUGAAACGCUAAUGCACGCUCUCUCUGAGCUCGAAUCGGCUUUCUAUUCUCUCGCCACCGACGAUGAUUUCCAGGUUUGUGGGUUCGAUUUCUCAGACCUUGUUCUUCGUGAAUUAGAAAUGAAACAUCUUGCGUUGUGGGUCGUUGGGAUUUUAGCGUUGUCAUUUCCAUAUUGAGAUAAAGUUUGGAUCUUGUCGAUGCCAUCUAAUUGAUGGUUCUGUAUGUCGACGAAAUUGUUAGAGACUAUGGAAAUUUUCCGAAACAGAGCGAAAAUGAAAUUAAAAAAACCUUGCUUUGGUGUUCUUAUUCGGCUUCUCUGUGGUUAUUUGUCUGAUUUCAUGUCUUGUGUGUUUGUGUCAAUGAAUCCUGUUAGAGAGAGUUGGCAGGGAUCUUGAAAGACUACGUGGGUCGAGAAAGCCCUCUGUAUUUUGCAGAGAGGCUUACAGAGCAUUACCGUCGCGAAAAUGGCGAAGGGCCGCUUAUAUACUUGAAGAGAGAAGACUUGAACCACACAGGAGCUCACAAGAUCAACAACGCCGUGGCUCAGGCGCUUCUCGCCAAGCGUUUGGGGAAGAAGAGGAUUAUCGCUGAGACUGGAGCUGGUCAACACGGUGUGGCUACAGCCACGGUUUGUGCCCGUUUUGGUCUGCAGUGCAUUAUCUAUAUGGGUGCACAAGAUAUGGAGAGACAAGCUCUCAAUGUGUUCAGAAUGCGACUUCUUGGUGCCGAGGUGAUGCUCAAGAUUCAUCUCCAUUGAUUGGUCAUCUGUUUUAAAUGCAACAAACAUUGUUUCUGACCCCUUUUUCUUCCUGGUUUGUGGUGUUACAGGUGAGAGGAGUUCACUCUGGAACAGCGACAUUGAAGGACGCGACAUCAGAAGCAAUAAGAGAUUGGGUGACAAAUGUUGAGACUACUCAUUACAUAUUGGGAUCUGUGGCGGGUCCUCAUCCUUAUCCGAUGAUGGUCAGAGACUUCCACGCUGUGAUCGGUAAAGAAACGAGGAGACAAGCGUUGGAGAAAUGGGGAGGGAAACCAGAUGUCUUGGUGGCUUGUGUUGGUGGUGGUUCAAAUGCAAUGGGACUCUUCCAUGAAUUUGUAGAUGACACAGAGGUCCGUAUGAUCGGUGUGGAAGCUGCUGGAUUUGGAUUGGAUAGUGGCAAACACGCUGCCACGUUGACAAAGGGAGAUGUCGGUGUUCUUCAUGGAGCUAUGAGUUACUUGCUGCAAGAUGAUGAUGGUCAAAUCAUUGAACCUCACUCCAUAAGUGCAGGGUAAGAGAAAUUUCUCUACUCAAAUCCGCUAGCCAUCAUUAGUAAAGCUGUUGCAUGAUCACGGUUUUGGGUUUCUUUUACAGAUUGGACUACCCUGGAGUUGGACCAGAGCACAGUUUCCUUAAAGACAUGGGACGUGCUGAAUACUAUAGCGUAACCGACGAAGAAGCCUUGGAAGGUAUGGAUCGAUGCAUAGUCUUUUGUUCUGUAAUCUCUUCUUUGUUUCAUAUCUCAUCUUUUUGUGUUUCCUUUGAUUUGCGGCUUGUAGCGUUCAAGAGAGUGUCGCGGUUAGAGGGGAUAAUUCCGGCGCUGGAGACAUCACACGCGCUUGCUCACCUCGAGAAGCUAUGUCCCACGUUACCGGACGGAACGAGAGUGGUCUUGAACUUUAGUGGAAGAGGAGAUAAAGAUGUUCAGACGGUGGCUAAAUAUCUUGAAGUUUGAAGAAAAAACCCUUUUGUUUGUUUUUGAUAUUCAGACAGUGAAAUCUUUUUGUACUUGUAAUUUAUUUGUACUUCUGCUUCUCCUGUCGGGACGUUUCCAAAAUAGAAGGAAACAGAAAAAGGACUACGAGUAGAACAAAGUUGAAUAAAUGUAAUAUUAUCUAUUAAAAAAGACAUUUCAUAUUUUGUUUGUUCUGCAAUCUACCGUCUCCUUUGUUUUCUCUAAACACUACUUUUGCGGAUUUAAAAGCAUGAUUUUUUUAUCUAAACUCUACCGAAAAAAACAAAACACACAGACACAUGUGUAUUUUCCUAUCUAACAAUUCUUUUUCAAACAAUCCGGUCAAAGAAGACCUCUAUGACAUUGCAGCUAGUUUAACUGAUUGUAAAUUUGUAAAAUUUUAUCUCAAAAUUCAUACGUGAUCUUAUAUUAGAAAAAGAAAAAGGUACAAUUGUCAGAAGAUCGCAUAUUUACGAUAUAUAGCAUAUGCUAUUGUUAAGUUUCGCUUGUGAUCUUUACGAUAUAGCAUCAGAGAGGUGCUGACUCUGACGAAGAAAUCAAUCAAUAAAUAACGAAGAAAUCAAUCAAUAAAUAAGCAAAUUGCAAAUUCCGAUAGAGAGAAUCUUCCUUUAGUAUAUUCUUCACUGAACCUAUCUCUCUGCCUCUUCUGAAAUCCCAAGAGACAUCCCUUUUUCUCUCUCUGCCACUCAACCAAAAUCCAAUGCCUCUGUGACAGUCCCAGGCAUCAACAUUGCUAUACUUAUGUAUUAAAAAAAAUCAUCACUCUAUUUAACAUCUUACCAAAAAAAAAAAAUCAUCACUGGUAGAUACUCUUUCUUUGAUUUGAUAAGAAGAUUUAUUCUUUCUUUAGAUUUUUUUUUUUUUUUUUUUUGGUAUGAUUCUUUCUUUAGAUUUCUUGCUUACAAAUGAUUAACAUUCAAUAUGUUGCCGAAUUUGAUAUUAAUAGAAUUGUCAUAUAUAAUCGAUUUUAGAAGUAAUACGCUACACAAAUAACCACGCUCUGUUUUUUGUUUCAACACAUCUAACUUAUCAAUAAGAUUAUAUGACCUGAAAUUCAUGCAUAUGUAUAAACGAGGGAAUAAUCUCGAAAUGAUUUUCUCUAUUUUGUUUGUAAAUGUUUCUCUCCUAAUUGAAAAGAGAGUAUAGGGGUGUCUUAUUCGCAAGGAGACAAUAUCUAAUUCCCUUUAGUUACAAAGAGGCGAUCUUCUCAUUUCCCCCAAAAUCAAACACUUAAAAAUCCAAAAAGCUCAAUUUAAACAACUGCCUAACACACUAAACAUUGUCGUCUCCAUUCUCAUUUCUUCAUUAUUCAGGACAAAUAUCUACAUUAAGCCCCUUUUCCUGGUUUUCACCGAAAUCACGAGCUCAACAUCGGACUUGAACACUCCCUGUCUUGCCCGAUCAAAGCUUUGCCUGCACGACACGUGAAAACCCCAUGUUAAUGAUAUGGUUCUAAAUCUUAAACUAUUGCUCAAAAAAGUAAACCAAACCAAUAAACUAAGACGGUUCUUGACAAUGACGAAGAAGUAAUAGUUAAGUCUAAUCAUAUGGCUAAAAGGUCAUCAUGUGGCUGUGAAGUGAAGCCAAGAGACGCUUACUCAUCAUAUGGAUAACAGGGGUAUAUUGGUCAUUCAAAGGUUAUUGUGCUACGUGUUUACCUGGGAAUAAAGGAAGGUUCCAAGGAUAGCAAUGGCGGCUCCAAGGGCAUUAACGGGCUGGACUGGAGUGCGGAAGAUAAUGAUGGAUGAGACGAUGACAGAGAUACGUUUCAUGGUGUUACCGACACUAAAUGUCAACGGAGAGAUUUGGUCCAAGGACAUGUAAGACACUUGGUUGUAGAGGUGAUAGAACACACUCUGCGCAGCCACCCACCUACAGCGAAUGAGAUGGAUUAAUUGGCCUAGACACGAAAAGACUCAAGGACUAUUAAUGAUUAGAAGGAAAACAAGAACUCUGAGAGAUAAAGGCAAGAACUUGAUAAGUGGGUCUUUUUCACAAGGGGUUAUAGGAACAGGACAAGACUGCAUCUAACAGGACAAAACAUCAAACCGAGACUUUGAGUUUAAAAAGAGUUGGCUUUCUCGUAAGAAGUUUCUAGCCGGAAAUUACCAGACAAACUGAGGUCCGACGUCGGAGAGAGCCUUUUGCCAGCCAUCGACCCACAUCUGAGGUCCUUCAACGGCAAUUGCAAAAGGUGUGAGGAUCAAGAGUGAUAACAUGGAGAGACAAGCGUAGUAGUUCAUUCCGCUCACAGACUUCCCUUUCAUUCCCUUCUUCGAGAAGAUGUUACGAAAGACGAAAGCCAAGUUCGAAAUCAUCGCUCCCAUGAAACCUGAGAGGGCAGAAACAGAAAGAUUUGAUCAUUUUUAGUUCUCAAUCCAAAUCAUACAACUGCUUAUAGAAGCUAGCUAAAAAGAAUUACAAAGACAAAAACAUUGGAGUGUUUAGAAUAUUUAAUUACCAAUCAUGUUGAAGUUAAGCUCAGUAAGAGCAGAGAGAGCACAACCACCAAUGAUGGGAAUGAGGGACAGGUAAACCGAAGUAGGGAAAGUUUCACCCAAAAGGAACCUCGAGACAAGGACGCUAAACGCCGGUUCACCACUCUUGAUGAUGUGAGUGAACGAAACCGCAACCUUUGACAUACUCACCGUUGCAGCCACAUGACCAAUUGUGUGUGCCACAGCAACCUUUAAGCCAAUCCAAACAAAAACCCACUUUUAGUACAACAAAAAUCUCAAAAAGUUUAAUACUUUAAACCACGAUGAUUUUACUAGAAGCUAAAAAUACAACAUGCUAAUUUCAGACUCUCAAAAAAUGACACUUGAAUUCAAAGAAUUUAGCUAUGAAAAAUUCAGAAUUUAUAACAAACAACCAAAAUUCAGCAGCUUAUGAACAAACACAGCCAAAAAAAACAUCACUUUCUCCUCUCUCUCUCUCAGGAAGCAAACAAAACUAAGCAUAUCACUCAGGUAACAAAAAAACAACAAAUAUUCCUGCAAGAUCUGCAUCAACUUGACCAUAAACCUCAAUAACCCAUCAUCGAAAACAUCGACAUCAAACCUAAAUUUCCAACCUUUUUCUUCUCUAAUCAAAAACCCACCAAACUUUUUUUUUUCCCCACCAACCCACUUACCGGCAAAAGAGUUUUCCAGAAAUCGAAAUCGGUUUUGGGAGUCUCGACGAUCCCAGUAGCCCAAGAGAUGAGCAUCAUCAACGAACCGGCGGCGAGAGAGAGCGUCGAGGUCAGCCAUGGAUAAGGGUAAGCGUUCAAGACCUUCUUGUUGUAGAUGUUGAAGACAACGUUCAAAGCCCACCAAGUAGCGAAGUAAAUCCCGAUCUUCAGUUUCUUUGCCGCCUCCGAUUUCGUUUCCGCCGCCGCCGAAUCAUCGAUCGGCUGAGGCUCCGAUUUGUCGGCUUCGUAGGCUUCGCAUCUCACCGGAGACUUUGCUCUCAAAGAAGAGAUGUGCAGAGGCUUCGAGAGGGCUAACGCUGUGCGUUUUGGAAGCUCCGUCGAUGGGAACGAGAGUGAAACAGGAGAUCGCAGGAGUGAGGAAGAAGGGCUUCGUCGCAAAAGUGGAUUGGAGAAUCCGAUCUUAGCAGAGAAAGCCUGCUUCGCCGAUAAAACCAUCGCCGGAAGAAUAAAAGAGAAAAAAAAAGGAAAAAAGCUUUUUCGUCGAAUUAAAAUAAAAUUAUUUUUAAAAAAACUUCGAUCACGGAGAAGUUUAGUUAGUAGCAAGAGAAUCGAUCAAAGUGUUUGACCUGGAAUCUAAAACGAAGAAGAAUUCAAAAAAGAAGAAAGAUCUUAAAACAAUUGGAUUGUCUUCUUCGUAGUGUUUAUAGAGAGAGAGAGAAUUAUAUAGAAAAUCUAAGCAGUAUAUAUGCGCUUUUAUAAGAUGGGAGAGAACGCUAUUGUCUUUUUAUUUUCUUUAUUUCUUUCUGUUGUGAAAACUUUUUAGAAACUUUUUUAAUAUAGAGUAUAUAGGGAAUCUUUUUAGAAACUUUUUUAAUAUAGAAUACAUAGGGAAUCUAGGUUAAGUACAAUGCCUUGAUGGGCCUAAUGGGCUGGUAUAAGAGUCCAUAUAUGAUAUGUGUUACAACACUCCCCCUUGGACGAGUGAACCGGGCCAGCUACUCAAUCGGAAUCUCGAUAAUGCGCUGGGGAAUGUUGCCUCAUUAAAACCUUACCAGGAAAAACCCAGUGGGACAAAACCAUGGUGAAGGAAAAAGAGUACAACACGCAUUACUCCCCCUGAUUGUAGCAUCACUGCAGAUCUCUAAGUCUAUACAUUCCUAUCUGUUUGACGAGCUUCCGGUGUGUUGAAGUAGGCAAUGAUUUGGUGAAGAGGUCAGCUGAAUUCUCACUGGAUCGGACCUGCUGAACGCUGAGAGUGUCGUCCUUCUGCCAGUCUGAGGUUGAGAAGAACUUCGGUAGAAUGUGCUUCAUCCGAUCUCCUUUGAUAUAUCCUUCCUUGAGCUGAGCUAUGCAUGCCGCGUUGUCUUCAUACAUCACCGUGGGCUGUGUGUCUUCGUCCAUACCACAAUCUCUGCGGAUGUGCUGAGUCAUGGAGCGCAGCCAGACGCAUUCCCUACUAGCCUCAUGAAUGGCUAGGAUUUCAGCAUGGUUUGAUGAAGUGGCAGUGAGUGUCUGCUUCAUUGAUCUCCAAGAGAUGGCUGUUCCUCCAUGCGUAAAAACGUAGCCAGUUUGAGACUUGGCAGUAUGCAGAUCUGAUAGAUAUCCUGCAUCGGCGAAGCCGACUAACCCAUCUUUAUUUUGGUUAGUAUAGAAGAGUCCUAAGUCUUGAGUACCUCGAAGGUAUCUUAGGAGAUGUUUUAUACCGUUCCAGUGCCUCUGAGUUGGAGAUGAACUAUAUCGAGCGAGGAGGUUCACGGCGAAACAUAUGUCUGGUCUAGUGUGACUAGCCAGGUACAUUAACGCUCCUACAGCACUGAGGUAUGGCUUUUCAGGACCAAGGAUUUCUUCAUCAUCCUUUUUGGGACCAAGAGGGUCAUCACUUAAGCUUCUAACUACCAUUGGACUAGUCAAUGGGUGAGCUUGGUCCAUAUUAAAUCGCUUGAGUACCUUUUCGAUAUAAGCCGAUUGAUGCACAAGGAUUCCUCCUUUGAUGUACUCAAGUUGUAAUCCCAAACAGUACUUUGUUUUGCCUAGGUCUUUCAUUUCGAAUUCUGCUUUUAAGCAGUCGACUGUUUGGGAGAUCUCACCAGAUGUUCCGAGGAUGUUUAGAUCAUCCACGUAUACUGCUAUGAUUACAAAUCCUUUGUUUGAGUACUUCUUGAUGAAGAUGCAUGGACUGAUGGGGUCAUUUUUGUAGCCUUCUUUGAUGAGGUAAUCGCUGAGGCGGUUGUACCACAUACGCCCACUUUGUUUCAGUCCAUACAAGGAUUUGUUCAGCCUGAUGCAGUAUUGAUCUCGAGAUGCAUUUUUGUCUUUUAGUUCAAUGCCAUCUGGGAGUCUCAUAUAUAUUUCGUUGUCCAGGGGCCCAUAGAGAUAUGCGGUUACUCCAUUAACCGCAGAUCAAGAUUUUCUCUUAUGGCCAGACUUAUGAGGAAUCGGAAUGUUGUUGCAUCCACCACUGGAGAAUAAGUCUCCUCAUAAUCGAUUCCGGGUCUCUGUGAGAAUCCUUGUGCUACGAGCCGUGCUUUGUAUCGAACGACUUCACCGAGUUCGUUCCUUUUGCGCACAAAGACCCAUUUGUGGCCCACUGGCUUGAUGUGUGAUGGGGUCCGGAUGAUCGGACCGAACACGUUUCUGAGUUUGAGACUCUUUAACUCCACGUUUAUGGCUUCUUUCCAUUUUAGCCAAUCUGUUCGAUGUGUACACUGUGUUAUUGACGUGGGUUCUAGAUCCUCUUGCGUGAGCGCAACAUCAAGUGCUACUUUGUAUGCAAAGAGUGCAUUUAAGUCGACUUCUUUUCGAUUCCAUUGUAUUCCGGACAUAUUGUAAUUGAUGGAGAUCUCAUUGUUAUCUUCUGAACCUGGAGAUUCGGCGUCCCGAACUUCCAUUGAGGGUUCAUUAGAUUGAGUCUCAGCCGCGGCUAUGUCUGAUAUUGCAGGAAUCCCGGUUUCGGUUAUUGCACCUUUCUUUGAUUUCCGGGGAUUCUUAUCUUUGGAACCGAGAGGUCUGCCCCGUUUGAGACGUGGUGCAGACUCUGUAGCAACUUGGGUCUGUCCCGUUGGGACAGCUAUUCGUACUGGUGCAUUACAAGCUGGGAUGUACGAUUUGGUUACUUUGGUCGGGUCAGCAAAGGAAUCUGGCAAUUGAUUAGCUAGCUUUUGAUAAUGAAUAAUCUUUUGGAUCUCUGAAUCACAUUCUAGAGUCCGAGGAUCUUGCCAAUUUAAUGAUGUUUGAUUCCAUGAAAGAUCUUUGACCAGCUUGUUUGUCUCACCACCUAAAGAGGGAUAUAUCGAUUCAUCGAAUUGGCAAUCCGCAUAUCUGGCCUUGAAGAGAUCUCCAGUGGUUGGCUCGAGAUAUCUUAUGAUGGUGGGAGAGUCAAAACCAACAUAUAUUCCCAUCCUUCUUUGAGGUCCCAUUUUGGUUCGAUGUGGUGGAGCAAUGGGUACAUAUACUGAACACCCAAAUGUUUUGAGAUGGGAGAUGUCUGGCUCAUGACCCGAGAGUAGUUGGGAUGGGGAAUAUUUGUGUUCACUAGAUGGCCGGAUGCGUAUGAGUUUAGCAGCAUGUAAUACUGCAUGUCCCCAUGCUGAGGCCGGGAGCUUUGAUCUCAUGAGUAAUGGUCGGGCUAUCCAUUGAAUGCGUUUAAUGAAUGAUUCAGCCAAUCCAUUUUGAGUAUGGACAUGUGCUACAGGAUGUUCCACGGUUACCCCCAUGGCCAUACAGUAGUCAUUAAACGCUUGUGAGGUAAAUUCACCAGCAUUGUCAAGGCGGAUAGUCUUUAGUGGGAAGUCAGGGAAAUGGGCCCGCAAUUUUAUGAUUUGGGCCAAGAACCUAGCGAAGGCUUGGUUCCGAGAGGACAAGAGACAAACAUAUGACCAACGGGUCGAUGCGUCUAUAAGGACCAUGAAGUACCGGAAUGGUCCGGAAGAUGGAUGUAUAGGUCCACAGAUAUCGCCCUGGAUUCUUUCUAGGAAAUGAAGUGUUUGUUUAGAGAUUUUAACUGGUGAAGGCCGAGUGAUCAAUUUGCCUUGAGAACAAGCUGUGCACAUGAGGUGUUGAGGAUAAGCUCGGUUUUCUUUGAGGGUAUGCCCUUGAGAGUUUUGAAUUAGUUUACGCAUCAUAUUUGCACCGGGAUGACCGAGCCGGUCGUGCCAAAUAGUAUAAUCAGUAAACCGGGCUUUGAGAGUGGUAUUAGCUUCAAUCAUACUGACUUUAGCAUGGUAAAGUCCAGUAGAGAGCACGGGUAUGGUUUCGAGGAUUUGUUUAUGGCCGUCUACGGUUUUAGUGACUAGGAGGGAUUCUUUGUUCCCUUGACCUUGGGUUUCUAUGUGGAAACCAUUCUGUCUUAUAUCCUUGAAGCUCAGAAGAUUUCUCUUCGAACUAGGAGAAUAUAGAGCAUCUGGUAUUUCAAAUUGUGUGCCAUUUGAUAGCAACACAUAGGCAUGGCCAUAUCCUUCGAUAAGGUUUGAGGGGCCCGCGAUGGUGCUAAUAUUUGCGGUUUGAUAGGUUAGGUUUAUGAAGUAACUUUUGUUUCUUAAGAUAGUGUGGCUGGAUCCACUAUCUACGACUAUGGUUUCCAUUUGCUGGUGUGCUUUUCCACCUUUGGAUUUCUGACAGGCUAAUGAAACUGGGAGCUAAUAGACCUCAGUUAGCCGCUACAAAUUCCAAGGAUUGAUCACCAAAACUGGAGAAGCUGCUGGUUGAAGAAGGAAAAACUCGGAUCUGGUUUUUUUUUUUUUUUUUUUUCGGUUGAUCGUCGUGUACUGUAAGUGUGCGUGAGGGCGCGUCCGACGUUGGAUCGACAAACGGUUUUCACCAGUAGAUUCGUCUCGUCGAGGGCUUCGAUUUGAUAUGUAGAUCGUCUUCUGGUUCCUCACGGUUUGGAAGAUAUGUGUCUUUUAAGUUUCGACUUGCUUUUAGGGUUUUGGUGGUGGCCGGAUUUAUUAGGGUUUUUCGCUCAGAGAGUCUUAUCGUGCUGAUAACGUGUUGUGAAAACUUCUUAGAAACUUUAUUAAUCACUGGAAUGUAUAUAUAGAGUACAUAGGGAAUCUAGGUUAAGUACAAUGCCCUGAUAGGCCUAAUGGGCCGGUAUAAGAGUCCAUAUAUGAUAUGUGUUACAACACUUUCCUACUUUUUAAGGAGAUUGAUAUUUGUUGACAAAUACAAUGUAUUUUUUUUUUUUAAUCAUUGAGAUUUGAGACUUGUGGGAUACUGGGGUAUUUCUAUUCGAGAGUUUAGGUUUAACUCGUUAGCAAAUUAAAAAAAAAAAGGUUUAACUUUCUGUCUCUUCUUUUUUUUUUUUGGAUUUGGGUAAAAAGUGUGUUCCAUUGAGACAUUUUUUACCCUUUCUACCUGGUGAAAAUAAAUGUUUAAACAUCUAACUCAAUUCAGGUAAGAAAAAAAAAGUCAAUGGUUGUUGGACGCAUCAACUCAAAAGUUUGCAAACUAAUAAAAAAGUGAUGAUCUCACAAGUUACUUUGCUUCAAUCGGAAAUAAGAUUCCAUUUUGAUUUGUGUCCUCACAAAUACGAACUAAGGAAGAGUCAUUGGGGCUUCAGUUUCAUACUUUUUCACACGAAUAAUGUAAAGAUCGAAUGGUUCAACAAAAACAAAUUAUUUAAAACGUGUAGGAAAAAACAAAUCAAACAUGCAUAUAUCUAUUAGUUUUUUACUUUCGUAUACAAGCUUAAAAUUUAAUGCUGAUUUAAUAUUCUAAAUUAUAAAACUUUGAAACCCCAAAAAAUACGCAAUAUGAAUUGCCGAAACUGGAUCAGCCAUCGCAUUAGUCACCCCAAUUGUCAAUUUCUACAUGUUACAAUUUGCUCAGUUGAAGCCCAUUAAGCCCAUCAAAAAAAGCCCAUUAAGCCCAUCCAUUUUAGAAUCCAAUAUCAAUUUGACUAUGCUAAUCCGCAACAAAGAAAGGUUUUGAAGUCAACAUUUCGGUUUAUUCAGUUUUUUGGAAGAGAAAUAAUAUAUUAAUAUGUGUGUCACCAGAAUUGCCAGCUUUAUAUCCUAUUUACGAUGGUGUUUUAGAUGUUUUUAUCACUCUUUCAUCAAUUCCGAUAGUGAUAAAAAGGAAAAAAUGAGUUUCAAGUAUUUGAUAUACAACGAUUCAGGAAAUGGAUACGUUUUAAUUCUUUUGAAAGAUGUAUAGAUGUAUAUGUGAUAAUAAGAAAAUAUAAUGAACACCAAAAAAUUAUAAACAACACAAAUCUAAUAUAUGUAUAUAUAGUUUAAUUAAAGAUAAAGAUCAAAAUGCUUAAUAGUGUUUUAUUUUAGUGAUUAGGAAACAAAUGAGUGUUUCAUAUUUCCCAAGCUAAUAAGUUUUUUAAGCUAUGAACCUACUAAAUAAUAGUGUUUAAUAGUGUUUUUCUUAACUAUUAUUACUUACUAUAUGUUUCUAAUACAAAAAAAUAAGUUUUCGUCACAUAUGAAAAUAGGACUAACGUUUUCAUUAUGUCUAUAAAUUAUUAGUGUGGGAAAUAUUAUUUUUCUAUAAUAGUGUUUAAUUCGUAAAUUAUUAAUGUUAUUUGUAAAUUUCUUAUAAUUUUCUAAAAUUCACAGAAAAUGUUACAACCGUUUUUUCAAGAGUAAAAAAAUAAACAAACGAUAGACAAUAUACCGAAGCAGAAAUAAGUCCUUAUUCCUAAUAAUUGCCCUUAACCUCUCUCAUAAUCAUGUUUAGCUUAACAACUUAGGAAUAGUUGGUGACUCACACGCCGAUGUCAUAGCAUGUGCAUUUCACUUUCACGUCACACGUCUGGUAGCUUAUAUAUUGCUAUAGCAUAUAUAUUGCCCAUACGUGUCUAUUUGUAAUUUCACUUAUCAGAUUUUUUUUUUUCCUUCAACCAUUUGUGAUUUACUUCAUUAAGGAAAAUGACACAACAGUUCAAAAAGAUUUAUUUGAAAAAGGCAUUGAUGGUUCUAAUUUUGAGCAAAAACCUCUCACUUAUCACACGAAUAUGUAUCCGCAUAAUAAUGCAGUGAUAACACAAUUACAAUCCAGUAAACUUUAUAUUUUGUUCUCAUAAAUCUAAUUUUCUUAUAAACUAAAUCUACCUUUUUAAGUGGAUAAAUCUGUCGUUUAUAUGUAUAUAAAAUGGUUUAGAUAUUAACAAAAAACUGAUAACUAUUCAAUUUUAAUACAAUAAUUUAUGAAAGUUUAUACAUUUGAGGUCUCACAUAAUCAGACAAAGUCAUGAGGAUAUAAGUUUUCAAAAGAAUUGUUACGAUAGUAAUCUUUAAAGUAGAGAUUUGAUCAAAAGAAAAGUAGAAAUCAAGUGUUGAUUUGGUUAAUAAGAAAGUUAAGGGCUGAAAAUGGAAAUAUAAACUGAGUAAGAGGUUAUCUUGUAACUAUCUAUCGUACGAUUAAUAAUCGCGGGAAAACUAAAUUGAAAGCUUUUGUUUAUCUUACCAUGUGACGCAACAGAAUCUAUUUUAAAUUUAAUCGGAAACAUACAAAUCAUUGACCUUUAAACGUCAUUUGUUUUUUUUUAAGUACAAAGUAAUAUUCCUUUGAUCGUCAUUUAUUUAAUUUGUAGUUUUAAUUGGAACCCACUAAUUCCACAGGUGCCACGUAGACUUUAUCUUAAAACUGUAUUCUUAGUAGUUCUUAAUUGAUACAAGUGACGUUAGCUUAAAACUUUUCUAGCUAUGUUAUAAAAAAAUUGUAUCUAAAUCUCAGGUGCAUAAACAUAUUAGAAUGUAGAAACAAAUAAACAAAAACAUAUUAGUUUCAGCACUCGGAUUUAAACUUAUAGAAUGCAUAUUGUUAUAGGUAAUAUCAUUUUAAUAACUACUAAUAUCUAUACUAACUUGUCACCGGCCGGUUACACGGUAAUCGUGUAAAGCUAACUAAUCGUGUAAAGCUACUGGUAAUAGAAUUUUAAUUACUAAUAAUAACAUAUACAAAUAUCCUUUUUCAGUAUAUACAUAUAUAUAUAAAUAAACCUGAGGAAAUAACAAUAUAAAACCAAUAAAAGUAAGGACACUUAUUAGUAUGGUUAAUCCCUAAGUUCGGCAUCUCAAUAAUAAAAUAAAUUCAUUUUUAAAUGAAAUAAAAUCUUUGCAAGAUCUUCUAUUGACGUAUGCCAAGGAGUUUUACAAAGUCAAUUAUUUAGAUUAUUAAACUGGAAGUUGACAAAUUCCAAACUUCUUUGUUGGUUUAGUUUUAUUAAUUACCUAACUCUCAUAUAAAUUGUAAUGUUUUUUAAAAAAAAAAUCUAGGAUCUUAUUUCUCAACUGGAACUUUAAUGUAUACGGUUAUCAAUCUUUCUAAGACGUAUCGAAAUACUAUCACAGCUUGCAAAAGAAGUAAUCGCCUAAUCGGGAAAUAGACGUUUGAAUCCAAUUUUCUUCUAGGUUGAUUUGGUAAUCCAAACCAAUCCUAAAUAUAGAAUACCACAAAAAAAAAAAAUUUUAGAAUAUGUCUACAUUUUUCCAUAAACUCAUUUACUUAUUUCAAUAUCGCUUAAAUAGUUUAACCAUUAUAAAAAGCUAUCAUUAAAGUUUAUAGUAAAAACGUCAUAUUCUGGCAUCUUCUACAUAGUGAAUGUUCUACUACUGAACCACCGAAUUGAUUUGUUAAAGUUAAAAUUUCUAGGAAAGACGUUUUUUCAUAGCAUAUUAGCAUGUUAACACAAGUAAUGAACAAAGUAACCACAAUCGUAAGUCCAAUUACUAUUAAACCCAAAAUAUGUCUUUUUUUCCAAAAAUUUUGAUCAAUGUAUUUGGUGACCUACCUAUAAUUCAAAUAAUUAAAUACACAAAAAGACAAAAAAGGAUGUCGGGUGAAAAGUAGGACUGAUCAUUUGCUCUAGGUUUCUUUUUAUUUUAGGUUCAUAUAUAACUCCACACAUUACUCUUUCAUUUAUAUUUUAGGCUCUCACAUCCAUAUAUUUUUUUCUUCUUAGUCAAAAGUUACGUUUUGUUUGGAGUUUGAUUGUUUGAACUGUAAAUGUUAUUUACCAAAAUCAAAUCAAUUUUUGGUAAUGGCAAAGGUCUAAAAAAAUUUCACCACAUCAGCAUGCCAGCAUUCGAUAUUCUUCUCUUAAAUCAUGAACCAUGCUAUCAACUUAUUAAAUAAUUACUAUAUUGUUUUGACCAAAAAUUACUACAUUGUUAACAAUAAACAUAUAGUUCACGUUAAAGAAACUUAAUGAAAUGCGUCUACUUGUACCGUACGAAUAAAUAGUUUAGUAAUAUAGGUCUAUUUAAUAUAUAUAUCUUUAGAUAAUGUGAAACCGGCGCAUUUGCUCGUUGAUUUAUUCCUAAUCCGAAGUUAGUAAACUGAUUAUUCAACGGUGGCACCAAUUAAAUGGAUAAAUAAGGAACAAUUUUAUUAGGAAUCUAAUCAUGGGGUUAUUCAUAGAGUUUGGUUGAUUUUUAAUUAAGAGAUUUAUCAAAUUUUAUAGAGUAUUGAAUUUGUAAAAGUUUUUUAAACUUGCAAAAAGUUUUGUAUAUUUAAACAAUCUAUUAAAAAAUUAUAUUAUAACAAAUUUUGAGAAUCAUAGAGAUACAUAGAGUAUUUUAAAAGUCAUGUUUUAUGAUUUAAAUUGUUGAGAAUCCAUAUCCCAAUAAUACUACAUUCAACCAAAUCACAAAAUAUUAAAAUUCAAAUUAACAAUAGAAUUUGAUUAGAUCCUAAAAAUCUUUAAACCAAUAAAAAUGGAUUUAUAAAAAAAAUAUAAUCCACAAACGAAUAAUAAUAAAAAUUUAUUAAGAAUAUAAAAAUUCACAAACUAAUAACAUAAUAUUUUUAAACUCUAAAAUCUUAAAUCGAUAUCCCAAUAACCUCUCUGAUAUGUUUCAGUCUACUCUAUUAAUGAACUGAUAAGGAAAGACCAAAAAAUGUGAUUACUACUUUUUUUUCAACAGAAAGAUAUUAAAUAAAACAGUUUAAAAAUCAAAAUUGGAAAUCUAUUGAUUACAUGAAUAAUGUAUGUAGAGAUCUAAACGAUAGUUUAUAUAAAUCCAAACUUAAACGUAUACUCGUGAACUUAAAUUAUGAGAAUGAAAGAAGUAGAGAACUGAUAACAACAAAUUUAUAAUCAUCGUGAAUUCAAUGUAGGCUAAUCCGUCCAUGCGGAUACCAUCUUCAUUAGUUUUGAGUAGUUAUCAAAUAAAGAUUUCUGAUUUAUAGUGGAGAUAUGUAUUUUUCAGAAAUUUCAACUUCCAUAAACUAUAUAUGUUAUCUCAUAAGUUAGAAAAUAUCUAAAUUUUAACAUAAUAACACACUUGUAUAAAUUAAAUUCCCAUAGUUCGUCGUAAGCUUUUUCGACCUAUCCAACAAUUCAAUGGUUCUACCAGCUUUUUCAUAUAUUUUACCACCUUAUCAAUAACAACGUUUUGGCAUCUUGAUAACAUUCAUAAACAGUUUUAAACUUUGUCUUUCUUUCAGAAAAAAAAAACUAUUGUAGAGUAGAAAUGGAAACGUUUUGAUUUUUGAAUGUUUUAGAAAGAUUUUGAACACUGGUAAAAAAAUAUUUUUGAGGAUAAAACCAAUCUAAUAUAUUCAUAAAAGAAAAAUAUCCAGAAAUUUUUGAGGAAAAAACAGAAUUUAAUUUGAAGUUUUUAAAAAUUAUUUUAUUUUCGUGGAAUUAAUUUAAUUGAUUUAUUUUUCUUCCAUUAUGAAAUUGUCUUUUUUUUUUCUUUAAUAUUAAGCGUUUUGAUACUAAUAGUUUAAGGUUUAUGCUAGGAUUUGUUUUGUCACUACUGAAAUCUCUAAAAUUUAUAUCUUAUCUUUUCAGAGUUAAGAGUGUAAUAGAUAAUUUAAUAGUUGGAAUUAUAUAUCAAUUGACAUGAAACUUUAUAAGUUGUUUACAUGUCGUUUUAAAUUGCUCCUCAUUUUCCAAUUUUAAAUAUUAAUAUGGAGCAGAAUGUGACACAUCUUCCUCCAGUGGUCACAUAUAAAUGCAAAACAUUAUUAUUAUAUACCGGCUUCGCAUAUGUAAAUACGUCUCAUAUAAUAUAGCUAGGGGAUAAUGCACCAAACAAUUAUUCGAUAAAGAUGAUAAAGUAAUCAUAGAGUAGUUCGAUGGAAAAUACGAGUCCAAAAACUUAGAACCUAGAGCCGAGCAUCUCUAAAUAAUAGGUAAGAACAUAGACAGAUAAGCAGUCUAUAUUAAUUGACAUUUUACAUAUUGGUUGAAGAAAUAAGUAUAAAAUAACCAUAUAUUUUUUAACAACUAGGUAAACAUUUGGAAGAAGUGAAGCGAUCCAAUUUUCUGCAUCAUAGUUUUUAACUUUUUAUUAUUCAUUUAUUAUAUACUUGAAGUGUUUUGCAAAACAAAAUUCUAAUUUUUUGAUGUAACAACAUUAUAGAUAAUUCAUAUUCAUAAUUUAAUCGCUGAUAUCAAUAACUGAAAGUUCAUAUUCAUGUUUAGAUUUGCAGAAGUAACAACAGUAUUAAAUUGGUUUGAAAUGUUCAAACCAACUUUUAUUCCAACCAAAUAGAAAAAAAUCAUAUAGAUCGACCCCACAAACCAAGAUUCCAAACCAACAUUCCCAUCAUUGACAGCAAAAUAAACUUAAUUCAUAAAGAUAUAUGUAUAUAUAUAUAUAUUAUUCAUAUUAUAAACUACUCCGUAAUAUAGUUUUUGCUGAAAAAAAUAUAAAUCCUCAAAAUCAUUGCUAUGUAUAUAAUUAACCCUCACGCAUGUUUCAUCUGUUGCUACCAAAUAACAAACCAAACAAAAAAAAGUUCCUUUUUUAUUUUUUCUCUUCCAAAUUAGUCAUGGAGAGUUCAAUGAACAAUGCUUACAUUAUGAGCAAACAAGAACCGACGACGUUUUCAAGCGACCAAACUCCAGAAGAAAGUAGCUGGACGAUGUACUUCGAAGAUUUCUUCGAGACUUCUUCAAGUAUUGCCGAUGUCGGAGAUUGCAGCUCUUCCUCUGUCUCCGAUGCAAUGUCUUUCGUGGCCACUAAGAAGACCAUCCACGUGUCUAAACAAGAAGGAAUCAAUUCUUCUAGCAAACUCGACAUCAAGAGGACAAGAAAUAGAGAUAUUUCUUUUGGUCUUCAUUAUGAUCUUGAAGACACUGCCUCUUCUCCUUCUCGUAGCCCUAACGUAACUCUCUCUCUCUCUCUCUCUCUCUCUCUCUCUCUCUCUCUCUCCCUCUCUCUCUCUCUCUCUCUCUAAACUAGUGGUUACCGUCUUAUUGAUCAAAACCAAUGAUCGAUUUCUGCUAUACAAAUUGUUCGGGUAAAAGAAAUAUGACUGCAUCGUUGGAAAACUUUAAAAAUUAGUUAGCUAUGUACAUAUUAUGGAAGUUUGUAAGCAUUUUUGUCUAACUUUUCUUGUAAGCAUUUUUGUCUAACUUUGAAGUUUGAAAUAUUUUCCUUCUUUCUUUUGUUUUUAGUUUUUGCAAUAUAUACAAUCUAUCUAAGUACGUUGCUAUAGAUUAUUUCCUCUUAACAUUGGACAAACAGUCGAGUUCGGUAAAAUUAAAGGAGAUCUGUCAUGAUUUUGAUAUUUAUAAUCUAUUAGUCAUAUGAUUUUAUAUUUUAUAGGACAUUGGAUCGAUAAGGUUAUAAGACGUUAGUGAGAGGCGAGAACUAAAUCUUUCUUAUUUUCUUUUAGCCAAGAGAAGCAAGAAAUUGAUUAUACUAUGGGGCCGGGUUUGACUCAAAAUUGAAAUAUUUUGAAAAUUAUAAUCCAACAACUUGAUGCAACAAUCCGUACCAAUUUUAAGUUCCUAUUUGACAAAGAUCAAUAUAAUAAUCAGGUUUAACAAGUCAAGCGUAAUUUAAUUAUAUUGGUUCAUAAUUAAUCUGUAUCAACUACUAAGUAUUUGUAACCAGAAUUUUUUGUUUUUGUUUUUAAAGUAUUUGUGAUUUUUUUUUUCGCUUUAUAGAUAUGUAGCAUGAUGAACUUAUUGGACAACAACACGAUACACGGAGGUGGCGUUAUUGGNNNNNNNNNNNNNNNNNNNNNNNNNNNNNNNNNNNNNNNNNNNNNNNNNNNNNNNNNNNNNNNNNNNNNNNNNNNNNNNNNNNNNNNNNNNNNNNNNNNNNNNNNNNNNNNNNNNNNNNNNNNNNNNNNNNNNNNNNNNNNNNNNNNNNNNNNNNNNNNNNNNNNNNNNNNNNNNNNNNNNNNNNNNNNNNNNNNNNNNNNNNNNNNNNNNNNNNNNNNNNNUUUAUAUAGGUGAAGGAGAGAGUUCAGUGCAAAACCAAGGUGGAUUAUCAGUAGACUUGAAGAAAAAAGGGCUUUGUUUGGUUCCUAUGUCUAUGGUCACUAACUUUCUUGGUUAAACAUACAUAAAACCUUAUUCAUUUUAAAAAAAUGUGUUUCCACUAAUUUAUCUGCUCUCUUAGAGUAUUAUUGCUCUGCAGAGUUUUCCAAUCAUGUCUAAUAUGUUUAAUUCACUUAAUUGUUAUAUAUUGAAUAUGCAUGUGUAACAAAUUACAUAUUGCAUGUGAGUUGUAUGGGCACUCCUAUUUUUUUAAUCGGAAUACUGUAUAUAUUUCAUUAAUGAGUUAUUCCUUCAUAACAUAAUUUGGAAAAGUUUUGGAAAAAAUGUUCUUUCCAUUUAUGAUUUUUGUCUCGUCGGGCAAUGACCACAGAUCAAUUCAUACCAUAACUUCUAUAAAUUCUCCGAUGCAAUUUUGUCAAGUUAAUAUUUUAUUGAUAUUUAGUUUAGUCUUUCCAAAAUUUUAUUAGUUAAAAGUUAACAAGAAAUAUAAAUUAGUAUGGACUAAAUAAACAUAUAUAUAGAUCGUAUAAUUAUGGACAUAAAUGUAUGGAUAGAGCACUCUCCAAGUAAUAAAUAUGAUUUAUUACAAGAUUUCUCAAUUGAAAAGCAUUUAAUUUAAAAAAUGCAUGUUUAAGAUUUGCAGAUUCAUAGAGUAUAUUUGAUUAAGAACUAUUAAAUAGUUAAUUUCUAUAUGUCUAAAAUAUAACCAUUUAUUUAUGGUCGUCUAAUGUUUUCCAUUUUUCAAAGUUGACUAGUAAUAUAAAACCUAUUAUUUUCGGUACUUCUCUUACAGAAUUCAAUACCCAAAACAAACACAAAAAGAAAUCAUACGUAGAAGAAGAGAAGUUGCUAUACUUCAAAAGGGAGGAUGCAGGGUUUAGGGCUUAUGGCGGUUAUCUUUGUUUUUGCCAUUUUAGCAGUUUUAGCAGGUUUCGCAUUAUAUGUAGUUUAUAAAUAUUAUUGGGAAAAAGACGAUGAUUCGUAAUCGUGAUUGAUUGUAAGUUAUUCAGCGAUAUUUAAUCCUUGUUCUUUUGGUUUUAUAAAUGCAUGUUUUUUUAACGUAAAUUAGUGUUUGAUACCAAAAGGUGUUUGUCCUUAAAACAAUGAGUGAUUUUGCCUCUAAACGAGUAAUGUCGGAGUCAUGAUUUGUUGAAUAAGUUAAAACUGUUAAAGCCGACCCAUCGGUUUUACAAUAUUAGCGUUUAGCAUAUAAAAACGAUACUUAAGUUCCUUUUAACAACAGAAAAAAGGUUCAGAUCCAUGAUUAGUGAAUUAUGUGAUCUAAUUAUACUUCAUUCACAAUUUUUGUUUAGAUGUAUUUCUUUAGGGUUUAGGAAAAAGGGAAACCAACAACCGAAAAACCAAACAUUUUUUUCUAUGUGUGUCCAUUAAUUUUAUUUUUCUACGAAAAAUUGGCGUAAACCAAACCAAACCGACUCAAAUAAAAACCGAAAUCAAUGGGCUAAAGUCCUAACACUCUACCGUACGUCAACAAACGCAUCUCUCUCUCUCUCUCUCUUUUUCUAAAAACGGAUUAGAAGAUAAUUAAAGAUAGAUCAACGAGCAUGACCACCGAUCCCAGCUCACCUUCACCAUCAAAAAUCAUUGCUUCUCCAAAGACCACCCAAUUAAAAAAAGGAAUUAGGGGGGAAAAUGUAAAGGAGUAAGAGGAUUAGGGAAACCCAAAUGAUUAGGAAAAGUUCUGUCUUGAUCUUUUCUUUUUUAAUCCACUAGCCUCCAAAACUGGACCCCUCUUAAGAUCUCAAUUUGUACACCAAUUUCGACAAAGAAAAGAAUCGAUCUUUUGAGAGGGUGCCAGUUUUUCUUCUGUUCUCCUCCAAUCUUUUUUUCUGGGUUCUUAGUAGAACAAAAAAAAAAAACGUUCUUUAUUUUGUUAGUUUCUUCUCUCUUGUCAAGAUUUUUCCUAAUUUUUGUUUCCCCGGAAAGUUUUCAUUUUUCUGUAUUUUUUUGGGGGAAUUAAGAAUUUUCCAUAAAUGUGGGGAGCAGCCGCAGAACCAGCAGAUUCUUAUUACCAGAUUCGCCCUGAGUGCACCGAUGUCCCCAACACCAGAUUUAAGAUCAAAGUAUGUCCCUUUCUGUAAUCUUUCAUCUUUAAAUGGAUUUUGUCCACUGUUUAUGUGCGUUGAAAAUCGCUUAUGUAAUCAAUGAGAUUGGCGAUUGCGUUUUGUUGUUGCUUGAUGUUUCAUUCCCUUCUCCUGUGCUUCGCGUACAAUGAGUUUUUCAAGCUAAAUUGGUAGCAUUUGGGUUAGGAACUUCUACCAUUGUUAGGUUAUAUCAUGUGUGUUUGAUAUGAUUAAUCAAGGCAAUAGAGCAUUACUACUUGUGAUUUAAGGGUUGUGGAAGCAACCCAUAAAAGCUAUGAGCUUCUACAACGACCUAUGACAUGUUUAUGUCUUCUGAUAGGGAAUAUUGAUCUUUUUAGCGCUCUCCAAUUAGGUUGAUCUUCUCAUAAUUGUGUUUAGAGAAAGGCAGAUUCCUCAUUGGAUUUGUAGAUUUGGUUUGCCAUCGUUAGGUGUCUUAUGUGUUCUUCAUUGUUUUGAUGACAAAAAAGCAUUCAUUACUACUUAUGUGGUUCUGUAAUCAAUAAUGCUAUAUUACUGAUCAGUGCUAUUUGGGUUCACAGAUCUAGCAAAUGAUCCUUGCUUACUCAUAAUUAUCUUUAGAGAAUGGUAGAGUAUCAAUUGCUGACAAUAUAUGUCAUUUUCUUGAUGAUGUUUGUGCAGCCUGGUAAAACUCUAAGUGUAAGAAAAUGGCAAGCAGCAUUUACACAGGAAGGAUUUCUCGAUAUUGGCAAGACUCUAAAUCGAAUCCAACGAGGGGUGAGUCUCAAAACACUGUUUGCAAAGACUGCGACAUUAACUAAAUUCGUUCUGAAUAUGCAAAUAUCACCUGUUUAUUUAGCUUCUAUAUCCCUAGUGUUCUAAAAUACGGGAAUCAAGAGCACACUGUAUCAGAUUUCAAUUUCUUGUCAUUACAAAGCCUUUUACUUGCUUUCUUGACUGGUCUAGGGGAUCCAUCCAUCGAUUAGAGGAGAAGUCUGGGAAUUCUUACUUGGUUGUUAUGAUCCAAAGAGCACAUUCGAUGAAAGAGAGCAAAUCCGACAACGUAGAAGGUGAGUUUUUUUCACACAAAUAAACAGUAAAUUAGUUUCAUUCGAGAUCCUAUCUAUCUUCCAUUCUCUUUGCUACUAUAUCUUGUUAUUUAAAGUAUCGGUAUAAUAACCGUAUAUUCCUUUCAGAUUGCAGUACGCUUCUUGGAAGCAGGAAUGUAAACAAAUGUUUCCGGUCAUCGGAAGUGGUGGAUUCAUUACAGCACCAGUAAUUACUGAAAAGGGCCAACCCAUUUACGAUCCUCUUGUACUACAAGAAACAAAUCUAGGUAAGGAAAUGUGUAUCUUUUGCUUGAGGAGAUAGUAGAGCGACAGUAUUUUUGCUAUGAUUUGGUAAAUUAAGCGUUUCAAGUAUUAUCUCAGGUGCGAAUUCUGAUUUCUUUAAAGACCUUGCAAGCCGUGGACCUUUGGAUAAGAAAGUAAUCCAAUGGAUGCUAACACUUCACCAGAUAGGUCUGGGAUCACACGGCUUUUAAGAGAAAUCAUUCAAUCACAUCAUUGAAUUUACUUGCGUAAACUCUUUUUUUCAGGUCUUGAUGUAAAUCGCACAGAUAGGACUUUGGUAUUCUAUGAGAAAAAGGAGAAUUUGUCUAAGCUCUGGGAUAUUUUAGCUCUUUACGCCUGGAUAGACAACGAUGUCGGGUAUUGCCAAGGUAAAGCCUUUAGACUCAGAGAACAAAACAGAGUAUAGUCCUCUGUUCAAGCCCUGAAAAGUCCGUUGAUUGAUAUAUCCACUGUUUUUCUUGACCAGGAAUGAGUGAUCUUUGUUCCCCUAUGAUAAUGCUACUUGAAGACGAGGCUGAUGCUUUUUGGUGUUUUGAACGAUUGAUGCGCAGAUUGGUAACUUUACCUCUAUGUUUGUCUUGACUCUCUCAGUAAUCAGAUUAGUAUUAAAGGUUUUUCCUUUUACGAAAUUGAAAGAGAGGAAAUUUCCGGAGCACGGGAAGAUCAGUUGGAGUUGAAGCACAGCUUACUCAUUUGGCUACAAUCACUCAGAUUAUUGACCCCAAACUCCACCAUCACUUAGGUAUCUAUCAAAGCUUUCUUCACCUCUCUUUUAGCAUAUAAUAUUGGUUGAGCGAGAGAGAUCUUGAAAGAAAAAUUUUGGAUUCUUGAAAUGCAGAGAAUUUGGGAGGAGGUGACUAUCUCUUUGCGAUUCGGAUGAUAAUGGUUCAGUUCCGAAGAGAGUUCUCGUUUUGCGACUCUUUGUACCUUUGGGAGGUAACGGUUUUCUUCAUCUCUUUACGAAACAUGUUUCUUGGACCAGACACUAAUAAAGACCGAUGAUUUUUGAGCAGAUGAUGUGGGCAUUAGAGUAUGACCCUGAGAUGUAUUCACUGUACGAGGAGCCCGAGUUCGAGGGAGAGAAAACCGAAGGUUCCUCCAAAGGUAGACCCAAGUCGAUAAACCAAUGCGGGAAAUAUGAAAGAGAGAACAUGAAGAACGGUGGGAAAAACGCAGAAGGUCCUUUGCCUAUUUCGGUUUUCUUAGUGGCUAGUGUUUUGAAAGACAGGAGUUCUAAGCUCAUGACCGAAGCUCGAGGACUUGAUGACGUUGUUAAGGUAACGCAGAGCGGUUUUUCUCUCCUUUACACCUUACAUUUCCAUUUAAAAUAAAUACCUGAUUAAAAAUUUGUGUGUUUUGCUCAGAUCUUAAACGACAUAACCGGAAACUUGGAUGCUAAAAAAGCCUGUUCUGGUGCAAUGAAACUUCACAAGAAGUAUCUAAAAAAGGUUUAAUUUUAAAUAUCUUUUCUUUCUUUCUUAGAUUGUUUCUGUCACAAAUUUCUACUGAGGCACUCUUUUGGGUUUGUGCUUGCUGUCUUUUAAGUCUCUCUGCUGGUUCUGUUUUUUUGUUAUUGAAGGCCAAGAAAUAGCAUUGGAGAAGAUUCACGGGUAGAGUUUUUGUAUAUUAUUAUACAGAUUUGAUAACUCACAAAAUCCGGCGAUGUAGAGUUACUGGUCAGAAAUUUACGAUUCCUUUGGUGGCAAGCUUUCUUAAACAACAAAAAAAAAACAUGGAGACCUAACUUACACAACAACUUUUCGUUGUAAAAGUGUUCAUACAAAUUCAUGUUGUAAUAUUGAUAUAACAAACCAUGUGUUUUGUUAUGUAUUACCAAAACAAAAAGAAGAGGAAAAAGCACGAACACAAAUUAUCUUACUCCUCUGUUUUGAACUCAAAUGAUGUAUAUAUAAGUCGGAUUAUGUAAACAAUGAUGAAAUAUUUGAAUUCCAAAAUAGAAAUGAGGAUAUGUUCAUAAGAAAAUGUAUUGCAACGUAUCCUCAUUGUCUGUUAUUUUUACUUAUGACGCAACAUGAAAAGAAGAGAAAAAGCAAAAAAAAAAAAAAAAGGUCAAAAGGUUAACCGAAUUAGCGAGACAGAGCAUAACUAUUUCUCUCCUAGUUUUCCCCUGUUUCUACGAAAAGUAGAGAAGUGAAAGCAUACUGUGAUGUCUUAAUUUCUAGAAUUUAGUUCUCAGAACAUCAAGUCAUGAAUAACACGUCCUUAUAAUCUAAAGAUUUGAAACCUAAAUUGUUUGAUGUAAAGUGAAUUCAAGAGUAAACUACGACUGACUACAUUAGACAUACGAAAACAGAACAUGCAAACGACUAGAGUCAAGCAGACCAAGCUAAGUGAACUGCUUGUACUAAUAACACCAACAAAGGAUCGGAGAAGAACAUUACGAAUGAACAGAAGUAAGGCAAAUUGUGUACACAAAAGAAACAUUUCAUUAAGAAGAAACAAAGAAACAAAAUACACAGAAAGUGGAUAACAUAAACAGUCACUUAACCCAAAGUUUUUAAACACCUAAAACUCCUCCUUUAUUACAACUCCUUCCACAUCAGAAGGAUCAAGGGAAAUUUUCUCUUACGUUAAAAAAACCUCACCUUUAAGCAUCUACGGUUUCAGCUGAAUCAGCAGCGGCCAAGACCAGCUCGGGGCUUAGGUUUCCGACAUAAGAUCCGUCCAAAACGUUGGGCUGUCCCAACGCUUUAAGAGCGAGAUGUGCCGCCUUCUGUCCAGAUAUCAUCAUAGCUCCAAAAGUAGGUCCCUGCAUCACAAAUCCACUCAGGAUAUGUUUUCAAAAACUUAUGGAUCUUUGAAUCAUAGAUUUGUCAAAAAAAAAAAACUCACCAUCCUUGGAGCGCCAUCGAUCUCAGCAACUUCCAUACCGGUAACAAUCAUACCGGGAACAACCUCUCUGGUCAAUCUCACAAUCGCGUCCUCAGCUGUGUUCAUGUCCAGAGCUUUCAUCCCAGGAACAUGGUCGAUUAACCCAAUGCUCUUGAGCCUCUUAACACCUGUGGCUCCAAAUGGACCGUCAUGGCCACACGAGCUCACGACAAUCUUGGCCUCCAUGACAUUAGGGUCCAUGCAGGACUGUGUGUCGUGGUUCAUCGACACUAGAGCCCAGUUGGUAACCACACCAGCGACUCUGUUACCUUUCACGAUCAGAUCCUCUGCGGCUACGGCGUUGAAGAGCUUGACGUUGGGACGAGCCAAAAGCUUGCUCAUGAUGGUUGAUGUGAAGAGAGCAGCGUGCUUGAUCACCACGUAGUUGUCUUGUUCGUCGUAAGCAACACCAAUCUCAUCUAGGAACAGAUGUGCUGGUUUGCGCACAAUCUGUCAAAAUAUGAAAUAUCACAACAAUUCUUAACUAGUCUAAUAUCACAAUAUCAUCGAAUGAUUUUGACAUUAAAUAUUUAAUUUUGUUAAGUUUCCUGGACUUCCAAUAUAAAACUAAUUGGCUAUAAAUGGAGAAAUUCAAGUCCCUUAUAUACUAGUGUUGGUCUCUUUAAACUUACGAUGUGGGAUUCUAACAAAUUUCUUCUAAAUUGGGAUUUAAUUAGUUAUAGUGAUUCCUCUUAUACCUAACUCGUACAUUACGAAUCUCCAGAUUCUGAACUGAUCUAACAUGCAAAUCAACCUAAAUCCUUCAAAUACGAUACAGAGAGAGAGAGAUUUUUGGAUCGUUACCAUGGCGGAGAAAAGCUGACCACCGAGCCACGCGCCACCUCCGGGACUAACGGAUUGUUCAAUGAUCGCGACCUGAACGUUAGGGUUCUUACUGAUCUCGUAAGCACAGGAUAAUCCGGCGGAUCCAGCACCGACAACGACGACGUCGGUCUCGGCGUAAGUGAUCAUAUCAGUCAUGUACCGCCUGGUCAUCUCACGAGAGACGAUCGAUUCCUUUAUGGGAUCGAAAGUGAAGGCGUUUAGAUCGUAGCCAGAAGUGGCGCGAACGGAAAGAGAGGCAGAUCGUGGUUUGAGACCGACGGAGAUAGGUGCGGCCGAGAUUGAUGAGCCAUGGAAGGAGGAGUCGAAAAGCCUUUGAGGCUUGGUGGAAGAGAGAGAGAGAGUGGAAGUAAUGGCCGCCAUUUGAGAGAAAGAGGAAGGUUUUAGUUUCAGGUAUUAGUGAUGAUGAUGGUGAAGUGAAAGUGUGGAGGUUGUUUGAGUAUUUAAAUUAGAAGCAGAGACAGGGAAAAAAAUAUCUGGAGAGUGAUUGCCACGUCGGGAGAUAAGGAACGAAGGGUCAUCAAAUAUUGUUGGUAUUUUCUUUAAAUAUAUAUAUAUAUAUUGUCUAUUUAUUGCGAAAUUUUUUAGAAACAUUGGCAAGCAAUGAUCUCCUUUCUUCACGGUUCUAAUUGAAUGAAAAUGACUUUUGCAAUUUGACAGAAUUAAUAGUUUAACAAUCUUUAAUAUACCUAUAUAUAUCAUUUUCAGUUUUAAAUUAUUUUAAAAUAUUUUUUCUUGUUUAAGACAAUCAAUGUUUACAUAAACAUAUAAAUGGUACAAAUUGGCUAAACCAUAAAAAUUGUUUCGACAUUCAUUUUUGGACGUAUGGCCAAAAAGAGAAAAUAAAUAUACCAUAAAGUCUAUACCAUCAUCAUUAAUUACACGUAUUACUCAAUUUUUUUUUUUUAUCACACACGUAUUACUCAAUUUUAAAAGAAACUUAUCUGAUUUGAUCCGAUUAAGCACACAUCUUUGCUUGUCAGAAAAUAAUAAAUAUUGCCAAUUAGUAUUGUGAACUAUGGAGUUCAUGAAACAUAGAGAUUUUUUUUACAGUCAAAUUCAUCAGUUCGUGGUAAUGAAAUACCUAGAAGGGUUUUGUAUGGAAAAAAAAAAAAUAUAUAUAUAUAUAUAUAUAUAUAUAUAUAACCAUUUGCAAUAAAUGUGUGGUUACACGAACACAAGAAAGUGAAAUAUCUUUGUUCGAUCGAGAUGGCUUUGGACUUUCCUAGUGAAUAAGACAGUUCGUUAUUUAUGGUGCUAAAAAACAAAACAAAAAAAUAAAUAUUAUAUCAAUUUUUAUUUAUUUAUGAAUUAUAUGAUCGACAGGCAUGUUCUUUUUGGUCAUAGAAUCUUUUUUCUUUUGUGGACCAAAAUUAAAUCUGCAAUUCAAUAUCUAAAAUCUGCAUUUCAUAACUUCAGCCUUCAGGUUGUUGGAUGUUUAAUUUAAAAAUCAAAAUAUGUAUAAGUUAAUUGAAUUAUUUUGACAAAGGUCAAGCAGUAUGUCUUUCACUCUCUUUUUUUUUUUGUUUGACAAAGGUCCCAAGCCGUAUGUUUUUUUUUUGGGGGGUAAAAGCCUAUCCCAUUAUUUUGUGGCUGAAAAAAAUAAAGAUACUAUUUUGUGGUGUAAGCAGGUGAAGAAAGUGAACGGAGUGGAAGUGUUGAAUUUGAAGCACCUAUAGAGAAAUGUUAACGUUGCACAAAGUUUUGAGGUUGGACUUAGAUGAUGAACGAGUUGUUGGCUUGAAAACUUUAGAGAUCCAAAAAACCACUUCUUUGAUCUUGGAACGUCAUGGAAUCUGCGAUGUCCAAGGACCUUCAGACUAACAAAAUUUCCAGAAAGAACAAAAAAAAACUAAUUAAUUACUUGAAUAUAUAUCGUCAAUGAGUGAGUUUGGAUUUCAAUUUUUGUUGAUAGAUUUUUUUUCUUUUCCUUAACAUAUAAAGCGACUUAGUCUUAUUAUUAGUAUUUUUUUCCAAUCCAUCACCGCUACUGUUGGUGUCUAGGGAAUUGAGUGUGGCCAGUGGUGGAGGCAUGUAUAAGGAGAUGGGGGCAACUGCCCCUAAUAGAAAAUUUUGAUUAGUGUAAUUGUUAACAAUAAUAAUUACCCCCACACUAUACAAUAUAUAUGCCACCAUUAAAUAUUUUUGCUCUCAAUGGAAAAAAUUUCUGAGAUCAUUUUUUUUUUAGAACAGAAAAAGUAACAAGAAAUCUUGUCUUUUUAAAAAUAAUUAAAGCAGAGACUUAUAGAUUCCAAAAAACACAAAACGUAGUAACGUACCACGGUCCACAUGAACCUGAAACAAAUUUCAAUUCCGUUAUAGACCACAAAACUGAAUCGAAUACACAUCUGUCGGUUCAAUGUAUAUUAAGGUUUGUUGUUGGAAUCCACAAUUUGUAAAAAUACACACUCCAAAACAAAAGAUAGAAAAAAAAAAAAAAACGAAAUCCAAUCGAGCAUGCAUGGUGAUGGUGUUGCAGAUUGGCGAGACUCGUCUCGAUCCCUAACUUGACACAUCAAUGAAGUUUCCAACACCUAAUCCAAACAAAACUCUCAUGCGUGUUAUGUUCCAAGUGAAGACACACCAUCUCAUGCUUAUUACACGUGAGUGCCAUGCAAAACUCCUUCCUCUUCCAUAAAUAGCCCAUCACUCUUCACUUCAUCAUCACUCACACAUAAACCUCAAAUCAUCAAAUACAAUCUUUUCAGCCAUGGCUAAGCUCUUACUCGUUUUCGCAACUCUUGCCCUCUUCGGCCUCUUGGCCAACGCUUCCAUCUACCGCACGAUCGUCGAGUUCGACGAAGAAGAUGACGUCAGCAACCCAAUACGUCCACUACAAGGUAAGUGCCAAAAGGAGUAUAUGCAGCAACAGCAGCUAAGUGCUUGUAGGAAUUGGAUCCAGAAACGAGCUCAACAAGGAAGAAUCGGAUAUGAAGCUGAUGACUUUGAGCUCACUCUUGAUCUUGACGACGAUGAGAACCAAAUACCUCAGCAAAAACCAGCUCUGAAACAAUGUUGUAAUGAGCUACGACAAGUGGACAAGAUGUGUGUGUGUCCUACACUGAGACAGGCGGCUCAACAAGCUAGUUUCCAGGGAAUGCAUGGACCAGGACAGGUGAAACAUAUGUUCCGGAGUGCUAAGAACUUGCCUAAGAUCUGCAACAUCCGUGAAGUUGAAUCGUGCCAGUUCAAGGCAACUCCUUACUAAAGAUCAUGAGGACAAGUUUUUAUAAGGCGUGUGCGUUCACAUGGUGGUUUUGUUAAUGAUAAUAAAAAAGCCUUACUAUUGUGGCGUGUACGUGUUUAUAUCGUAAAAAAUGUUAUGUACUUGUUUGGUUAGAGUUAUAAUGGCAAUAUUACACCUUGUAGUGUAAUGUAAUUUGCCCUACUCCUUCUAAUAAAGAGUUUCUCUUUUGGUAAUGAAAAUCGUUAGCAUCAUGCUCUCUGACUCUCAUUUAUGUGUGUUGUAAUAAAUUAUUGAGAAUUAUGAUAUAAGGCUUGUGUCACGUACAAGAAGAAACCAGUGCAACUAGAACACACAAGGUCUACGAUUUAUAUGUCCACUGGCACUAAUACUAGAAGCUGUGAAAAAAAUUGAUUUAAGUGUUUGAUCCAAACAGUUGUGUUAUGCAAGCGCUUACAAGAGAGACGAGUUUCUUUUAGUCAUAAUUAGAAGGUUUGGAUAUCAUGAAACUGGCCAACUUAAUUAGUCACUGCUAGUAAUAAUAACAUCAUACAAGAAUCAGAAGCUAACCUCGGGGACAAUGAGCUAGGUAAAACAUAGCUUUGAUAUAAGCGGCUUGAAGUUGAAUAUCGCCAAUAAGGUUGUAUUUCAAUUGUUUUUGAUUUUAUUCUUUUUUCAAAACAUAAAAAGUGAGUUAGUUAUUAUCAUUAUCUAUUUUUUUCCGAUCAUUGUGCUUCCUCAACGCUUCUUUGGAGUUUAUGGAAUUGAGUAUGGAUCAUUGAAUUUUGUAAGAAGAGAAAAAUAGUAACAAGAAAUCUAAGUUCUUUUCAAAAUAAUUUAGGCAAAGCAUAUGUUACCUUAGAAAAAACUAGAUUCAAAACCAAAACACAAGCCGUACCAAAUUAAUCCGACGUAAAUUUCAAUUCCAUUAUAGACCAAAAAACGAAUUGAGUAUACAUAUAAUGUAUGAUGUAUAUGUCAGUUCAAUAUUUAUUAAGGGUUGUUGUUGGAAUCCACAAUACACACUCCAAAACAAAACAGAGAAAAAAACAAAGAUGAAUCGAGCAUGCACAUGGUGUUGCACAUGCGGAGACAAGUCUCGAUCAUUCACUUGACACAUGCAUCAUUGAAUUUUCGAACACCUAAUCCAAAUAAAAAUCUAAUGCGUGCUAUGUUCCAAGCGCAAACACACCAUCUCAUGCUUAUUACACGUGAGUGCCAUGCAAAAUUCCUUCCUCUUCCAUAAAUAACCCAUCACUUUGACUUCACUUCACUUCACUUCAUCAUCUCUCACCCAUAAACCUCAAAUCAUCAAAUACUAUCUUUUUUUAGCAAUGGCUAAGCUCAUUCUCCUUCUCGCAACUCUUGCCCUCUUCGUCGAGUUCGACGAAGAAGAUGACGUUAGCCACCCAAUGUGUCCACUGUCCACAGAAAGGUAAGUGUCAGCAACAGAACAUAGGAGCUUGUAAAGAUUGGAUCCAGAAAUGAGCUCAACAAGGAAUAAUCGGAUAUGAAGCUGAUGACUUUGAGAUCACUCUUGAUGUUGAUCUUGAGGACGUUGAAAACCCAAAACCAGUUCUUGAAAGGUGUUGUGAUGAGCUAAGAGGAGUGGAAAAGAUGUGUGUGUGUGUCCUUCACUGAAACAGGCGGCUCAAGAGGUGAAACAUUUGUUCCAGAGUGCUAAGAACUUGCCUGAGAUCUGCAUGAUCCCUGCAGUUGUUCAAGGCUCCUUACUAAAGAUCACGAGGACAAGUUUUUAUAAAGCGUGUGCGUUCACAUGGUGGUUUUGUUGUUGAUAAUUAGAAGUCACACUAUUGUGGCGUGUACGUGAUAUAAAACGUUAUGUACUGUUCGAGUUAAAGUAAUGUAAUCCGACCUGUGUCAUUGAUUGACACCUGGACAUGGUUCUUGCGUACAAAAGAAAAGAAGAAACAGGGGAAGGCUUUGUGUCACGGACAAGAAGAAACCAAUGCAACUAGGACACACAAGUUCUACGAUUAUAUGAGAAGAGAACCACUGGCACUAAUACUAGAAGCUGUGAGAAAAUAAAUGAUAAUAGCGUUUGAUUCAAGAAACUGUUGUGUUAUAUAGAAAACGUUUACAAGAAAGUGCUUUUAUACAUCUUACACCUAAAGAGAAAACGCGUGGAGUUGGCUCCUGAUCUUGAUCUAAUUUUAACUAGACAAGAGUACUUUCUUUUAGUCAAAGUUAGAAAGGUUUGGAUACUCUACAUGCAAAAUCAUGAAACUGACCAACUUUUUGUGUUUGUGUGCUAAUUUGUAAAUAUUCAUUAAUAGUGAAAUGUUUAGGUUACGAAUUGAUUGACCUAAAAAAAAAAAACAUGGAUUGAAUAUCAUGAAACGGACCAAUUAGCCACUGCUAGUAAUAAUUAAUAGCAUCAUACAAGAAUUCAGACGCUAACCUUGGGAAUCACUGAGGUAAAACACAGCUUUGAUACAAGUGUCUUGAAAUUGUGGAAAUCAAACCACAGACAGACAGUUAUGCUUAUUUGGAAUACAUCUAAAACAAAAAUGGAGAAAAUAGCUAGGGACAUAGUGUGAAUAAUUUUUUUAUUUAUUUUUAUUGAAAGACAUGAAGCUCAGCAAAGAGAAUCUUAAAGUGAAAAGCCGGACGAACACUAAAGAAUCAUCAAACAAAAACACCAUUGAACAAGAGUCAUAGAGCUCCUUAGUAGGCCUCACAUGGGCCUAAUCUUUAACUCUAGUUUUCGGGUCAGUUUCUGAGCUAGUGAUUGGUUUACAUGAACCAAUCAAAGUUAUAUUAAACCAACUUGAACCAAAUUAGUUUAUCUGAUAACCAAUAAAAUAAUUUAAAACAAAAAAACAGAAAUCAAAAGUAAAAUACUGUAAUCAAAUACUAUAAAAAAAAAGUAAAAUACUGUAAUCAAAUUCUUAAUCUAAGACUAGCGCACGUCACGGGCAAAUAAAAAAGAAUAACGCACGUCGUACAAAUUUUGGUGGAUUUGAUUGGUUUAGAUGAAUUUUUAUAUAAGCUAAAUUGGUUCAAGCUCAGUUCGUUAAAAUCGACAAUGAAUUGGUGUAAACACAAUAGUAAGUAGAAUAUAAAUCUAAAAAAUUCUAUCCAAACGAGAAUUAAAAUCUAUCGAGCUUCAGUUGAUAUUUAGGUUUGUUUGGUUUGAUUAUUGGUAUAAUAACCAAUUAAACCAGACACUUCACAAUUACUGGUAAUAUACUUUUUAUUUAUUUAAAUAAAUUGGGAAAGAGACGUGGAAGGUGAGUCUCUCUCGCUCUCUCUCUGGUGUAGUAAAUACAAAGACGAUACGUAAAAGAGAUCUCUUUUUUUUUUUUUCAUUUAAAUAAGAAAAGAAAAAUCAUUUAUGAAGUUUGAAACAGCUUUCGUCUCUUAGGUCUUCGCUCUCUUAUCCUAAAAUCUUUCCCCUUUCUUGCUCCUAAACGUUUCCAAAGUCUUAAUCAGAUUCCUGCUUCAGGACACGCUUAAUUCCUCUUUUUUUUUUUUCUGGGUAUUUCAAUUUCAAAUUCUUUCUCAAUUUACCUCCCGAUUCCAUCAAAAACACGAAUUUGUUCAUUCAUUUGUUCGUUUAUUUUUUUCUUUCCGAUUUCUAGGUAUAUAUGAUCAUCUUCUUUAGCGGUUCAGCCUAAGUAUUUUCAGUUUGAUCGCUAAUUCUUUGUUCUGGGUUUUGCAAAUUAUUCAGUUUUUUUUUCCUUUUUGAUCAAAGCUUUGAUUUGUGUUUCGGUGUUUUUCUUGCUUCGUGACAACUUGAAGAAGAAGCAAAAAUUUCCGAGUUUGCGUGUAAUUUGUUUCUAUUUUUAGAUUCCAAUUUCAUUUUUGAUCUUCAGUACGUAAUAAAAUCUCAUAGAAUUUGCUCAAUUUCGGUACUUUUCUUGGGCAUUUUAAAUUGGAAUUAUCCCCUCCCUCUUUCUCGGAGAUUCCAUCGUGAAAGAUUUUCUUGGAAAAAUCUCAGGCGUAGAAACAGAGACUAAGUGAUGAGGAAGAACGGCGACGGUUCUCCGAAGUCGCCGACGACUACGGACGGAGUUGUGUCGCGAUCAGCUCGGAGCUCGUUUCGUGCUUUGUCUAACUGUCUUCGGGUGAUUUCCUCUGGUGCUUCCACGGUUGCUCGCUCCGCCGCAUCCGCCGCUUCUUCCGCCGUUAACCGUGACAUUGACUCUCUUCACGAUCAGGUAAAAAAAGUUGCUUUCAAUUCGGAACAAAAUUGUAUGAAACUAUGUUUAUGUGUUGUGUUGCUUUCUUCGAAAUUGAGGAACUUUCUCUGAAAUUGAGGAACUUUCUCUGCGUUAUUAGUCCAAGUUAGGAACUUGUUAUGAUGGGUCAAAGAAUCUUGCCGGUUCUUGGGGUGAAACUAUGCUUAUGUUUCUCUUCAAGGGACAGUAAUCUUUUGGGGUUUUGCUUCAUUUGGUUGAUGAUACCUUAAAAGAUCGACCUUUAGGUUACUCUAUUGAGAAGUUUUUGGGUGUUUUUGAUGAAAAAAGGUACUAUGGGCGGGGUUUGAUAAGCUAGAGAAAGAUGAUGGCGAUACUCGAAGAGUUCUUCUACUAGCGUUUCAGUCUGGAUUUCAAAUUUGGGAUGUUGAAGAAACAGAGAACGUCCAUGUUAUAGUUUCUUCACAUGAUGGACAAGCAUCGUUUAUGCAAAUGCUGCCUAGCCCAAUAGUCUCUGAAGAUUUAGAUGACAGGUUUUCUGAGAGCCGUCCUCUUGUGGCUGUGUGUGGUGACAGUUCUUGGGAAGAAAGUUCAGACAGACAGAGCAUUUCUAAGAAUGAUAGUCCCGAAAGUGAAGUCGUAGUUUCUACAAAUGUGCAUUUCUACUCGUUAAAGUCUAAGUCUUAUGUGCAUACGUUGAAAUUCCGGUCUAUGAUCUAUACGGUUAGGUGCAGUUCUCGGAUUGUUGCUGUACUACAGGCAUCUCAGGUUCGAAAUUUGUCACAUUGUGUCUGAUUUUGUUAACGUGAUUUGUCUAUUCUGAAACUAACAAUGUGUAACUUAAAAACUUGUAUUUUGCAGAUACAUUGCUUUGACGCUACAACAUUGAUAAAGGAGUACAUGAUUAUCACUAACUCCAUCACGUAUUGCUCCUUGGGUGUUGGAUAUGGUCCUCUUGCAGUUGGUCCACGAUGGAUUGCUUAUAGCGGAAGCCGUAUUGCUGACUCAAGUUCCACACUUUUCACUCCAGAGCUUAUCUCACUGUCAUCAUCACCCUCUGUUGCACAAUUUGCAAGAGACUCGAGCAGGCAGAUCGCUUCUGGGAUCGUGACUCUUGGAGACAGAGGGUACAGGUCAUUGACUAGGUACUGCUCAGAGGUUCUGCCCAAUCCGUAUAUUCCUGGUUUGAAAGCUCUCGGAGUUUCUAAUGACAAUUCGCCAGACGCGGAUAGCAUAGGAAGGGUAUACUCCAAAUUUUCCUCAUGUUGUUUUGCUCUCAAGUUGUGAUUUUCCAUUGAUAUGUGCUUUAAAACGUUUCUAUGGGGUGUGUUGCAGGUGAUAAUCAAAGAUUUUAUAAGCAAAAGCGUCAUAACGCAGUUUAAGGCACACAAGAGUCCGAUUUCAGCUUUGAGCUUUGAUCCAAGCGGCAUGCUUUUGGUGUCUGCUUCGAUUCAGGGACACAAUAUUAACGUCUUUAGAAUAAUGCCAAGAACCUCUGCAAGUAACGAUGGGAACACACAGUCUUUUGUGCAUAUGUUCAGGCUCCAGCGAGGUUUUACUAAUGCGGUAAGCAGAGCCCUUCAUUUACACCUUUUGAGAAAAUCUGACGUCUUUGACUAACCCUGAUGAGAUUUUUUCAGGUGAUACAAGACAUCAGUUUCAGCAAUGAUAGCAAUUUGAUAGUGAUUAGCUCUUCAAGAGGGACAAGCCAUCUGUUUGAGAUUAAUCCCGAGGGAGAGGGGAAUUCUCCGAUUCCUCUAUCAGCGAUUAGUAGGAUAAGAAGUGGAAACAUCAGCGGAUGGAUGGGAACAAUGAGCGGUGCUGCAGCUGCAGCAGCUGGAAUGGUUGGAGGCUCUCUUCCGGGUGCAAUCACAUCAACUUUCUGUUACUGCGUUGAACAGAAUAAGAACAAGAACUAUGGUUCUGCUUCUGAUAAUAGCUCCAAGAGGAAUCUUCUGGUUUUUGCUCCUUCUGGAUGUAUGACACAGUAUGCAUUGAAAGCAAAUCCGGUUGGGGAUGGUCAUGAGACUGCGGUGAUGACAAGGUUUGAUUUUGAGUCAGGUCCAGAGACUGAAGGGAAAGUGGCGGUUGAGCCAAUACGAAGGUGGUCCAUGAUCCAAAACCAGUCUAGAAGAGAGAUGCAAGAUCACCACAGUGACAUAUAUGGAGGUGGAGCAACUUCAUCGGAUUCUAAGAGUAAAGUGUUUCCCGAGAUUGUUAGGAAGCAGAGCGCUGAGGAAUCUUGGAAAGUAAGUAGGAAAGGAAAGGCCCGUGUGGAAGAUAAUCAUCAGUUGUACAUAUCUGAAGCAGAGUUGCAAAUGUAUCACCCAUCUCAGAAACCGUUAUGGGCAAGGCGAAAGGUAAAGUUUACUCUUUGUGUUUGAGAGAAUGAUCUGAAAAGUGGUAAUGGCCGUGUUGUGUGGAUAUGUCUGAUACUUUGUAUUUUGCACAAAACAGUUUAGGUUUCAAGAACUGGUGUUGGAUCUGAAUGAAGUGAGUAGCGGUUGUGGAGGAGGGGAGAUGGAGAUUGAAGAUAUCCAAACUCGAACAAUUGAAGCAAGAACAAGAGAUUUGGUUCCAGUCUGGGGUUCUUCUCCUAGAUCCCAACAAGUGAUGGAACAGUGAGUUUUCGGAAUCUAAUCCAUGCUCUACACUUAAGGUUUUUCUCUCUGGUCUCUGUCACAGUUUCUUGGCACUAAUAUUAUUAUGUCACAGAUCAUCGCAGAGUCCAAGGGCCAGUACACAAGGUGAUCAUCAAGUGGCUUCUCCAGAGGGUCAUGGAACGGAGACAGGGUUCGGAGUUGUACAUGGCAAGGAAGAGAGCUCGAAAACAGAGGAAGAGAGCACGAGAUCUGAAGAAGAUAGCUCGAUAUCAGAAGAAGAGACUCAAAGCAAGCCUGUAGAUAAUGAAGAAGAAGGCAUUGCAGAGGAAAAGAGUGAUAGUGAAGAGGAAUUGGAAUAGAAGAAGGUGAUGUUGUUAUUGGUUUAUUUUUUUCACCACGAACUCAGCUUCAAAGUUCAACAACAGAAGAACAAAAAUAACAGUGGAAAAUUGUAUAGAAAAAGGAAAAGAAAAUUUGUAUAUCUUUUAGACGUAAAGAAAAUUAUACUUUUCUUUUCUUUCGGAUGCCUAUUGAUUCAUAGGAUGUAAAGUGUAAACAAAUUUUUUUUUUUAUAUAUACACACGUUUAACUGCACUUUUGUUAUCAAGUUUGUAAAGAAAGAAGUGUUCACCCACAUAAAAAUGUGUUAUUUACAAAGUAGAAAACACGGAAGACUUAUGAUGAACAGAAGUGAACAUAGACACUAACAGUAAAGAAAGAGGGUCAAUAUCGAAAUUCGAAGAAACCAUUAGUUCUGAAAAUUAUGAAAGUUGAGGCUCCAAUGUCUUUGUAGAGUAUCGGUAACUUUACAUCAAUUUGGAGAAACAAAAUGGUUACUCUAUGCCACUCACUCUUGCUUUCGCUAGCUUGACGCUAGGCGUUGUGUUUGUUUAUCUCUGACUAAAUGCGUGUUAAGGAAGGUUAAUCUUCUUUGUCUACCUUUGACCUGUCCAUGUCUACACAUAGAACUGUACGUAUUUUUUUUUUUUUUGACCAAAUGGUUUAACUAAUUUAUAAGAUUAUAUGGCAGUUAUGAAACAAAAAGAAAGAUUAUAUGGCUUUUCAAUAAAUUUUAAAGCAUUUUAUGAUCUCUACACUUUCUUUUUCCACAACCUCUAAGUAUUGUAUUAAUUUAUAUCAGACGCACGGAGUAUAGGAUAGCGUUUCUUUUUCGUAGAUAUUCAGAGUGUGAACAGAUAAGAUUAGUGACAUUUGCAAUAAACUACUAUAUAGUUUAGACUUAAGAGUGUUUGACAAAAUCUACAAGUAUGUUUUGAGUGUUUUUUUAGCUAGGGGACCAAUGACGAAGAAGUAAUGAAACUUGUACGUAUACUAAAAUUGGAACGAUGACUUUAUGCAUGGAUGUCACGUGUAAACAGAGAAAAUUGUCCAAAUUUACUGCCCAUAAUAAUAUAUAAAAUAAAAAAAAGUUGACGAAGAGAGUAUGGUUAACCUUAUAAGAGAGUAUAUAAAGGAACCGUUAAGAGAAUGAAUAUAACUAACUUAAAAAGACAAAAUACAAAUUAGUCUAAAUCUAAAAUAGAUAAAGCCACUUGAAACUAGAGAGAAUCUCUAAACGACAUGGCCAUCUUAGAAGAGAAUCUGUCUAUGUUGGAGGAAACAUACGAGGGAACGGAUUUGCACCUAGCCUCAAAGCUAGGGUACGAGGUACAUGCAAAGAGCAUGAUCGAGCUCCGUAAUGCCUUAAUCAGUUCCAUCAACUCCAAAGGUGACACUCCUCUUCAUCUUGCUGCUAGCUUGGGACACACCAGCAUCUUGAUUUGGAUGUUAGAGUCCAUAGAAUUGCAUAACGCAUGCGAGACAAAAGCCCUAGAAGUUCCAAAACUUUCAGAAAUGAGGAAUAAUGAUGGCUUGACACCUCUGCAUUGUGCGGCAAUGAAUGGUUCAGUUGAAAUCCUUAGGGUAUUUCUCGAUAAGUUUCCCUCUUCUUUCUACUCAGUCACAUUAGAAAAGAAAGAGACUGUGUUUCAUGUAGCUGCAAGACAUAAGAAGGACGAAGCCUUCAUCUUCAUGGCAAAGAGUGACAAGUUAGGUCAACUUCUCUACCAGCUCGAUGUAGAGGGCAACACUGUGCUUCACGCUGCAGCCUCUGUAGGCUCUAUUGACGUAAGUUUUCUCUUCCUCCUUCGCCUUCUUCUUUUCUUUUUUCGUUUUCUGUACCUUGUGCUUAGACCCAACGAUGACUAUUUUUUCUUUUAACGAACCAACGAGGACUAUAUAGAAAAUAUGAUUAAAACAAAAUUUUCUUCCAACCUCUUUUAAAGUUUUGAAUUGCUUUAAACGUUCCACCUAACAACCUUUUCUCUUCUUUAACAUUACUUGGUAAUACUAUAUAUAAUCACCGUUAUGCGAAAAAAAAUUAUGUAGAAUCGUUUUUAUUUUGAUUUUUUGACUAAAGGGUUGUACGUAGAAUCGUUAUUUGAUAGUAAGAAAACUAUCAAAUGAGUGAAAUACUAACUAAAUGCAUGUAAAAUAACACUUUCAUGAAAAAAAGUUUUCAAAUCAUAUCACUUUUCAUGAAAGUGUUAUUUUACAUGCAUUUAGUUAGUAUUUCACUCAUUUGAUUUGAAAACUUUAAAUAUGUGCGGUUUCUGUUGUUGGUUUCCUGCUUCGGUUAACAUUUUCCAUUUGGACAUCUUACAGCUGGUAAAAUAUAUAAUAAAGGAAACAGAAGUAAAAGUCACCACCAAGAACAAGAAGGGUUUUGUAGCGGUUGACCUUCUCAACAAAGAUGAUGGAGAUUUCCUUCAGCUAUUUACCGCUCUGAUGAUGUGUGAUCUGGAAAUAGUAAUUGAACGCCCACCGAGUCCUAGAGAAAUGGGAAAUUUUGAUAGCCAAGAAGUCGAUGACUUGAAGCUCCAGAAGGAAAUUGUAAGAGUUAAAAGUAGUCCAAACAAAAAAUUUGAGAUGCAAUUGGAGGCUUUGCAAAGCGCUAGGAAUACUCUCACCAUUGUCGCGGUCUUGAUUGCAUCGGUUACUUUUACAUGCGGUAUAAACCCACCUGGUGGGGUCUAUCAAGAAACAUCUUCCAUAGGGAAAUCAACUGCGGCAAGAACCUUAGCUUACAUGAUCUUCACGAUAAGCAAUAGCAUCGCUUUGUUUACAUCAGUGAGUAUGGUCGUUCUUCUCGUCAGCAUUAUACCAUACAAACAGGAAUCACUUUUGAAAUUCUUAAUUAUAGCUCAUAGGAUGAUGUGGGUGGCUGUUGGAGCCAUGGCAAGUGCUUAUGUCUCUGCAACAUCGGUAAUUUUACCUAAUUUUGGAGAAACCAAAUGGUUACUCUAUGCCACUCUUGCUAUCGCUAGCUUGACGCUAGGAGUUAUGUUUGUUUAUCUACAUUGCAAGCUGGCUAAAUGUCAUAAAAGGAAGGUUCAUCUUCUUGGCCGCUUGACUACCCCACCAGUACGCAAUAGGUACGUAGACAUGGCCGCUAAUAUCGAAAAAGGCUACUAUAGUUUAUCAUGAUAUUGUACGAUUCACUUGAUCUAAGUUAUCAGGGGCGGAUGUAGUACAUGAGUAGUAGGGUCAAGUAUCCCCUACUCUUUUUUAUUUUUUUCUUAAAUGUUUAAGUAAAUUUAAUUAAAUAUAUUUAAUUUAGUAGAAAAAAAAAGUUUUUUGCCUCCAACUAUUUUUUUUUUCUGUUUAUAAGCUUAUGCCCUCCAACUUAAUUUUUUUCUAAAUCCGUCACUAUAAGUGAUUGAUGUUUUUUUAUGGUGUGUGUCGAUGCCUAUCAUCUCCAGUGUUCAAAUUGGGAUAUCUGUUGUAGACAACAAAAAACUAUAACAAAUGUUUCGGAUAAUAUGUAUGUUGUUAACCAAAAGUUUUUCUAAAAAUGUACAAUAUAAUUUUUAUCUACUAUGGAUACAAAUAACCUUUGAAAUCCCACCUCUUACUUUAGCUUUUCGGAUUUAAUACUUUUGUAUCGAUUUUUUUUAAUUUAUUUUAUUUGAUAGAUGUCCUCUCCAACUUAGGUUCGAUCCUCUAUAUGACAAUAUAUCUCAUGUGAAAAUUGUAAGCCACAUGUAUCUUUAUCAAGACCGUAGACGUAGGCCCAAAAGGUUUCCAUAACUAGCAGAAAUUGAAACGUGCAAAUCUGCCAAAUCAUAACACAGGAAAGGCAAAAAGGCUAAAGUAUUACAAAUUACAAAAAGACUUCUUGUUUGGGUAGGGGCGAGACAGAACAACUUAAUUAAGUUUAAAAAAAGGGUAGCUAUAGAAACUAAAGAUGAAAUUAGUCCUCAAAAAUUAAAGAGCAUAGACACUAACAGUAAAGAAAGAGGGUCAAUAUCGAAAUUCGAAGAAACCAUUAGUUCUGAAAAAUUCUGAAGUUGAAGCUCCAAUGUCUUUGUAGAGUAUCGGUAACUUUACAUUAAUUUGGAGAAACAAAAUGGUUACUCUAUGCCACUCACUCUUGCUUUCGCUAGCUUGACGCUAGGCGUUAUGUUUGUUAUCUCUGGCGAAAUGCGUGUUAAGGAAGGUUAUUCUUCUUAUCUACCUUUGACAUUUACUUUAUCUUUCUGAAAAAAAAAAAAAAAGAUUUUUCCAUGUCUACACAUAAAACUGUACGUUUUUUAUUUAUUUUAACCCACGGAGUAUAGGAUAGAGAUUCUUUUUCGUAGAUAUUCAGAUUGUGAACAGGUAAGAUUAGUGACAUUUGCUAUAAACUAAUAUAUAUUUUAGACUUAGGAGCGUUUGACAAAACCUACAAGUAUAUUUGAGUUUUUUUAGCUAGGGAACCAAUGACGAAGAAGUAAUUAAACCUCUUCGUAUCCUUAUGACUUUAUGCAUAGAUGUCACGUGAACCGAAAAAAAUUGUCCAAAUUUUACCCCCACUAUGAUAUAUAAAUUGGAAAAAAGAGUUGACGAAGAGGGUAUGGUUGGCCUUAUAAGAGAGUAUUUAAAGGAAUUGUUAGGAGAAUGAAUAUAACUAUAACUUAAAAAGACAAAUGCAAAUUAGUUUAAAAAUAUCAAAUAGAUCCUAAGACCAAAGAGCCCCAAAGCCACUUCAAACUAAAGAGAAUCUCAGAGUAAAACUGGAACGAUGACUUUAUGCAUAGAUUUAUUGUCACGUAUAAACAGUAAAAAUUGUCCAAAUUUUACUCCCCACUAUAAUAUAUAAAUUGAAAAAAAGGAGUUGACGAAGAGGGUAUGGUUGACCUUAUGAGAGGGUAUUUAAAGGAACCGGUAAUUAAGAGAAUGAAUAUAAGAAUAACUUAAAAAGACAAUUGCAAAUUAGUUUAAAAAUCUCAAAAUAGAUUCUAAGACCAAAGAGUUCCAAAGCUACUUGAAACUAAAGAGAAUCUCAGACUAACUGGGAUGAUGACUUUUUGCAUGGAAGAGGGUAUGGUUGACUUUAUAAGAGAGUAUUUAAAGGAAUCUUUAAGAGAAUUAGAGAAAUAAUAUCACUAUAACUUAAAAAGACAAAUACAAAUUAGUUUAAAUAUCUCAAAUAGAUCCUAAGAUCAAAGAGUCCCAAAGCCACUUGAAACUAAAGAGAAUCUCAGACUAACUGGAACGAUGACUUUAUGCAUGAAUUUAUUGUCACGUGUAUACCGAAAAAAUUGUCCAAAUUUUACUCUCCAUAAUAAUAUAUAAAAUGAAAAGAAAUGUUGACGAAGAGGGUAUGGUUGACCUUAGACCAUUAUUAUCGCAGAGUUUUAUAUAGGUUUCUUAGCCCAAAAAACGAAUAAAAUAAUGUUUUAAGCCCAAAAUUAAUAAAAAUCGAUUCUUAUUUGGGACCUGCAAGAAACGACUCUUAUUUCACACGUGUCAUAAAUCUAUUGGACAGACAAAUCUCUCGGCCAAAUUUUCAAUUCUCGACCAUUUUUCCUCUUCAGAUUCCGACUCUUCAUUCUUCGACCAUUUCCCGGUCAAAUCAUCUCCACCGACGAUUCAUCCUCAUCUUCGUCCCCAUCUCCGACGCGUUGCCUGUCUCCUCCAAGCCGAUACACCUAUGAUGCCCCGAGAUCUAUGUCACCGUCUCAUAAACGAUUCGCGAAGAAAACCAGCUCGUAGAGGUUUGUUACUCUUCACUUUCCUCUUUGGCAAUGAUGGUUUUGAGAAAAAUGAUGAUUUGAAUCUUCAAUUAGGUGAUUACAGACUUGGGAGACCACCUGACGCACGUUAUCUCAGUGAACCUGGAUGAUAAUCCUAUUUAAUUUGAUGGUGAUUUGAUAUCCUCUUUAAUCAUAAGGCCUGGUGUUGGCAAGACCACUGUUUUGCUAGAGAUUGUUUGUGUCUUGUCCGAUGAAUUCCAGAAAAAGAGUGGUGGGUCUUCUUGUCCUUCCUCUAUAUUUCUCUUAGCCCUGAAAGGUUUUGUUUUUUUCUUUUUGAUAAAAAGUGAUUUAGUAUGUGCAAUGUGUGUUUAGAUGAUAAUUGAUACAAGUAACGAAAUAGGAGGAGACGGCGAUAUUCCACACUUGGCGAUUGUAGGUGCAUAGAAUGCAAGUGUCGAAGCCAUCUCUGCAGCAUAAAGUGAUGAUCGAGGCAGUAGAGAACCAUAUGUUUCAGGUGAUCAUCGUUGAUGAGAUCGGCACAGAAGCUGAGGCGCUUGCUUGUCGUUCCAUUGCUGAGCGGGGAGUGAUGCUAAUUGGCACUGCUCAUGGAGAACAGCUCCAGAACAUCAUAAAGAAUCCUACUCUUUCAGACUUGGUAAUAAUUGCUGUUCUGAAAUGUUAUAUUUAUCCCUUUGCUUCAGCUUUUUUUCUCAAUGUUCUUUGUCCCUUUACUGAUUUUUUCACCAAAUCUGUUCUUGCCUCUGCAGUCACUAUCUUCUUGACAUUCAAUAUAUUCUUGGCUUACUCUUGUGCAGACUGAAAAGAGUGUUGAUAUGUUGCUUCGAGGAAGAAACCCCAUGGUUGAGGUACACAAUAACUGAAUAUACAUAAUGAUGGUUGAUCGGUUGAGAUGUAAAGGGAACUGAUUUGACUUGUGUAGGCUAUUAUAACUAUGGUUUUCGAUUUCUAGGUAAGGAGAAGAGAUGAGGAGUUCAACGUAGUGAUAGAAAGAUGGAAGUCAUACGAUUGACAAGGCAUCUGAGUUUUCCUUUUAAUGGUUGUUCAUGUCACAAAUUCUGUCUUUCUUGUGAACAAAGGUGUUGUCAGUAGAUUGAAAAAACAAAAAAAACAUUUGUAUAAAUGACUAAUGCAAUUUGGAGAUUGUGUGUCCAUGUCUAUUUAGAAAAACAUGACAUGAGGUAUUAAAACUUCCCUCUGCUUGCUUCUUCUCACUAGUACCAAUCUUCACUAUUAAUUUUUUUUUUUUUUAGAAACUCAUUUAGAGGUUUUGCAAUGAACCAUCAAAAAUAUUGAGUUUCUUGUUAAGAGUUUUUAAUCUAUAAUUAAUAAUAAAAAAUUGUUAAGAAACUCAUUAGAAGUUUUAGGGAUAAUGAUGCUCUUAUAAGACAGUAUAUAAAAGAACCGUUAAGAGAAUGAAUAUAACCAACUUAAAAAGACAAAUGCAAAUUAGUCUAAAUCUCAAAUAGAUCCUAAGACCAAAGAGUUCCAAAGCCACUUCAAACUAAAGAAAAUCUCAGAAACGACAUGGCUAUCAUAGAAGACAAUCUGUCUAUGUUGGAGGAAGCAUACGAUGGAACCGUUUUGCACCUAACCACGCAGCUAGGGUUCGAGGUACAUGCAAAGAAGAUGAUCGAGCUCCGUACUGCCUUAAUCAGUUCCGCUAACUCCAAAGGUGACACUCCACUUCAUCUUGCUGCUAGCUUGGGACACACCAGCAGGGCCGGCCCAGUUGUAUCUGACGCCUAAAGCAAAAAUAAAUAUUUACAUAACAAAUACAUGAGGGAGAAUCGAACUUGGGUCAUUUGACAACAGAAUGAUGGACUAACCACUAAACUAUAAAAGGAACUUAACUAAAAUUUGCUACUCUUAAUAUUUAUACUAAAUUUGGUGCCUAAAGCCUAUGCUUUAGCAGCUUUAGUUCAGGGCCGGCCCUGCACACCAGCAUCUUACUUUGGAUGUUAGAGUCCAUAGCAUUGCAUACCGCAAGCGAGACAAAAGCCCUAGAAGUUCCAAAACUUGCAGAAAUGAUGAAUAAUGAUGGCUUGACACCCCUGCAUUGUGCGGCAAUGAAUGGUUCAGUUGAAAUCCUUAGGGUAUUUCUCGAUAAGUUUCCCUCUUUAUUCUACUCAGUCACAUUAGCAAAGAAAGAGACUGUGUUUCACGUAGCUGCCAGACACAAGAAGCAAUAAGCCUUCAUCUUCAUGGCAAAGAGUGACAAGUUAGGCCAACUUCUUUACCAGCUCGAUGUAGAGGGCAACACUGUGCUUCACGCUGCCGCCUCUGUAGGCUCCAUUGCCGUAAGUUUUCUAUUUCUCCUUCUCCUUCUCCUUCUUCUUUUAUUUAUUUCGUUUUCUAUACGUUGUGCUUAGACCCAACGAUGACUAUUUUUCUUUUAACGUCCCAACGAUGACUACAUAGAAAAUAUAUUUAAAAUAAAUUUUUCUUUCAUUUAUCAACCUCUUCUAAAGUUCCAAAUUGCUUUAAAAUUUCCACCUAACAACCUUUCCUCUUCUUUAACAUUACUUGGAAAUACUAUAUAUAUAACUGCCGUGAUGCAAAAACAAAUUAUGUAGAAUCGUUUUUAAUAUAAUUUUUGACUAAAGGUUUGUACGUAGAAUCGUUAUUUGAUAGUUAAAAAAAUAUCAAAUGAGUGUAAAUGCAUUUAAAAUAACACACUCAUGAAAAGUGAUAUGAUUUGAAAAAUUCAAAUAUGCGGGUUUUGUUGUUGGUUUCCUGCUUUGGUUAACAUUUUCCAUUUGGACAUAUUACAGCUGGUAAAAUAUAUAAUAAAGGAAACAGAAGUAAAAGUCACCACCAAGAACAAGAAGGGUUUUGUAGCGGUUGACCUUCUCAACAAAGAUGAUGGAGAUUUCCUUCAGCUAUUUACCGCUCUGAUGAUGUGUGAUCUGGAAAUAGUAAUUGAACGCCCACCGAGUCCUAGAGAAAUGGGAAAUUUUGAUAGCCAAGAAGUCGAUGACUUGAAGCUCCAGAAGGAAAUUGUAAGAGUUAAAAGUAGUCCAAACAAAAAAUUUGAGAUGCAAUUGGAGGCUUUGCAAAGCGCUAGGAAUACUCUCACCAUUGUCGCGGUCUUGAUUGCAUCGGUUACUUUUACAUGCGGUAUAAACCCACCUGGUGGGGUCUAUCAAGAAGAACAUUCCAUAGGGAAAUCAACCGCGGCAAGAACCUUAGCUUUCAUGAUCUUCAAGAUAAGCAAUAGCAUCGUUUUGUUUACAUCAGUGAGUAUGGUCGUUCUUCUGGUUUGCAUUAUACCAUACAACGAAGAUUCACUUUUGAAAUUCUUGGUUAUAGCUCAUAGGAUGAUGUGGGUGGCUGUUGGAGCCAUGGCAAGUGCUUAUGUCUCCGCAACAUCGGUAAUUUUACCUAAUUUUAGAGAAACCAAAUGGUUACUCUAUGCAGGGCCGGAUCUGGGGAUAACCUGAUGAAACAUCCGCCUAUAGCUUCCAAAAUUUUUCUUUGAUUAUUACGAAUUUUUGGGCCUCCAAAUCACAAAAAAAAUAUUUGUUCUUAAAUUGUUUCUAGCCCCCAAAUUUUCAGAUCCCAUCCUGACACUAUGCCACUCUUGCUAUCGCUAGCUUGACGCUAGGCGUUAUGUUUGUUUAUCUACAUUUCAAGCUGGCUAAAUAUCAAAUAAGGAAGGGUCAUCUUCUUGACCACUUGACUAUCCCGCCAGUGCGCAAGGAUAGGUACGUAGACAUGGCCGCUAAUCUAAAAAAAGGCUACUAUAGUUUAGCAUGAUACUAAAUACUAGAUAAGGAUGGACUUAUAAUAAGAUAUUCUACAAUUUAAGCGAAUAAUUAACUUUGAAUCAUUUUCUAUUAUAUAAUAAGAUUUUAUAAGUCACAUGAUCUAUGAGUGAUUGAUGGUUUUUUUAUGUGUGUCGAUGCUUAUCAUCUCCAAUGUUCAAAUUGGGAUAUAUGUUGUAGACAAAAAAAAAAAAGAACAAUAACAAAUGUUUUUGGAUAAUAUGUUUGUUGACAACAAGUUUUUUUUUUAAAUGUACAAUAUCAUUUUUAUCUAUUAUGGAUACAAAAAAAAAACUCUUUUCAGAUUCAAUGCUUUUGUAUCAACUUUUUUUACUUUUAUUUGAUAGAUGUCCUCUCCAACUCAGGUUCGAUCCUCUAUAUAUCUUAUGUGAAUUGUAUCUUUAUUAAGGCCGUAGAACUAGGCCCAAAAGGUUUCCAUAACUAGCAGAAACUGAAACGUGCAAAUCAUAUAUAUUACAAAGGAAGCUAAAGUAAAUAACAAAAAGACUUCUUGUUUGGGUAGGGGCCAGACAGAACAACUUAAGUUUAAAAAAAAAAGGGUAGCUAUAGAAAUUAGAGAGGAAAUUAGUCCUCAAAAAGUAAAUUCUGAAGUUGAAGCUACAAUGUCUUUGUUCAAAGACUUUAUUUAGAGGUAAAGCUAUGCCUUGUAACCACCAAAUAGCUCCUUUUCAUCUACACUCUCAAUAUUUUUUUAAACCAUCUCUGCGUUGCCUUCCCUUGACUUGUCUAUCUCUCUCCAACUUCCCUCCUUCAAUAUAAAGCCUAAUUCUUAAACCGAAUUCCCCUAAACCGAACCGAUCUAUACCAUACCAACAAGAAUCUUGGUUACGGUUAAUCAGAUAAAUUAACAACAACGUCUUGAAUGUUAUAGUUAUAUACCGGGAAAAAAACCAAAGCUUUUUCUUAACAGAAACCCAUUACAUCAAACCGUGGCCUUUGUAAUUCUAACAAACAAAAACAUUUCAUUUUCUUCACAUGAAACAUCAGAUACGAUCUGCCAUUAAUAACCUAAACACAAAGCAAGGUUAGGUAAAUGACAUAGACCCUUUUGAAUAACCAAACAUACACAAUACAUAACAACGUAAGAUCCCAUUUUCCCUCUUCGGACAUCCAUCUCCAUUCAGACAAAACCACAUUCAGAAAAGAAAAGGCGAACAAAGACAGUAAACAGAACAGAGCAAAAAAACAGAGAAAGAUGCAAUUGCAUAUAUCUCCGAGCUUGAGACAUGUGACUGUGGUCACAGGGAAAGGAUUGAGAGAGUUCAUAAAAGUGAAGGUGGGUUCUAGAAGAUUCUCGUAUCAGAUGAUGUUUUACUCUUUGCUCUUUUUCACUUUUCUUCUCCGAUUCGUCUUCGUUCUCUCCACCGUUGAUACUAUCGAUGGCGAUCCGUCUCCUUGCUCCUCUCUUGGUACGUUUCUUCUACUUCUCUCUUUCUUGCUUUCUUUUAUCUAAAUCCGGAAAUUUAAGUUAAUGUUUCAACUACUAAUCGCAAGAUAUUUUUUUUGUUUUUCUUUUCGCUCUGAAUUUAAAAUUUUGAUUUCCUCACAUUUUCUUGAAAAAUUUGUAAAUAGAUAACUGCGUUUUCAUUGUUACUUUUGAUCAUUUUGUAGAUACACUAAUAAAUAAAUAUACAAUAGUUGAAGUUCAUGUAAAAGAAUAAUCUAAACGAAUGAUAUUCAAUUACUUCUAGAGAUUUACGCCCAAAAGUGAAUAAUCCAAGAACUGGUCGGUUUGUUUCAGGUUUAUUUUGUAGUGUAAUGGUCGAGCUUCAUCAAAUAUUUAAAAUCAUUUCAAAGAUUCAAAAGAGAGAAAUUAGUUAAUCUCAUAAUUAAAACAUUAUCUAGAUAUGAGACAAAGUUUUCUUUUUUUUAUUUCUAAUUAACAGCUUGCUUGGGAAAAAGACUAAAGCCAAAGCUUUUAGGAAGAAGGGUUGUUGAGUCUGGUGUAAGUUCUCUAACUUCAAUUUCAGACCCUUGAACACAUUUACAUUUACUGUGGUUAAAAAAGGUUAUUUUUCUUUGGUUAUUUAGAAUGUUCCAGAAGCUAUGUACCAAGUUUUGGAACAGCCGUUAAAUGAACAAGAGCUAAAAGGAAGAUCAGACAUACCUCAAACACUUCAAGAUUUCAUGUCAGAAGUCAAAAGAAGCAAAUCAGACGCAAGAGAGUUUGCUCAAAAGCUAAAAGAAAUGGUCACAUUGAUGGAACAAAGAACAAGAACGGCUAAGAUCCAAGAGUAUUUAUACCGACACGUCGCAUCAAGCAGCAUUCCCAAACAACUUCACUGUUUAGCUCUUAAACUAGCCAACGAACAUUCCAUAAACGCAGCCGCACGUCUCCAGCUUCCAGACGCCGAGCUAGUCCCAACCUUAGUCGACAACAACUACUUUCACUAUGUCUUGGCUUCAGACAAUAUUCUUGCAGCUUCGGUUGUGGCUAAGUCAUUGGUUCAAAACUCUUUGAGACCUCACAAGAUCGUUCUUCACAUCAUAACGGAUAGGAAAACUUAUUUCCCAAUGCAAGCUUGGUUCUCAUUGCAUCCUCUGUCUCCAGCAAUAAUUGAAGUCAAGGCUUUGCAUCAUUUUGAUUGGUUAUCAAAAGGGAAAGUCCCGGUUUUGGAAGCUAUGGAGAAGGAUCAGAGAGUGAGGUCUCAAUUCAGAGGUGGAUCAUCGGUUAUUGUGGCUAAUAACAACGAAAAUCCGGUUGUUGUUGCUGCUAAGUUACAAGCUCUUAGCCCUAAGUAUAACUCCUUGAUGAAUCACAUCCGUAUUCAUCUACCAGAGGUAAGUUCCAUAAUUGAGAAAAUACUUGAGCAUUAUAUUACCCCUUUGAAUGCCUCAACAGUCUUUGUUUCUUCGCAGUUGUUUCCGAGCCUAAACAAGGUUGUGUUUCUAGACGAUGACAUUGUGAUCCAAACUGAUCUUUCACCUCUUUGGGACAUUGACAUGGAUGGGAAAGUGAAUGGAGCAGUGGAGACAUGUAGAGGAGAAGACAAGUUUGUCAUGUCAAAGAAGUUCAAGAGUUACCUCAAUUUCUCAAACCCGAUAAUUGCCAGAAACUUUGACCCAGAGGAAUGUGCUUGGGCUUACGGGAUGAAUGUUUUCGACUUAGCGGCUUGGAGAAAGACUAACAUAAGCUCCACUUACUAUCAUUGGCUUGACGAGGUAAUUCAAAACCACUAACUAAAACAUAACUCAUUAUCAAGUGGCAUUCAACUUAAAACUCAUGACCAUUUUCAUGCAUUAUGUUGCAGAACUUAAAAUCAGACCUGAGUUUGUGGCAGCUGGGAACUUUGCCUCCCGGGUUGAUAGCUUUCCACGGUCAUGUCCAGACCAUAGAUCCGUUCUGGCAUAUGCUUGGUCUUGGAUACCAAGAGACCACGAGCUUUGCUGAUGCUGAAAGCGCAGCUGUUGUUCAUUUCAACGGAAGAGCUAAGCCUUGGCUUGAUAUAGCAUUUCCUCAUUUACGUCCUCUCUGGGCUAAGUAUCUUGAUUCCUCUGACAGGUUCAUCAAGAGCUGUCACAUUAGAGCUUCAUCAUAAUAAUCACAAAACCAAAACUCAGUUCGUACAUUGGCUAAAACCCAGAGAAGAGAGAGAUUCACAGAUCCAAACAUGAAACAUAGGAGCAAACUUUUCUUCAAUGGAGUUUGUACUUCUCUGGUCAAGAUACCCUCUUCCAGAUCAUGUUUUGCUGUCUCUUUAGUUUUCAGUCUCUCCUGUUUCUAAUUUUUUGUACUUUCAAGACUCUUAUGGCGAGGAACAUUCUAUGUAUUAAUGUAAGAACACAUAAUGUGUGAGAAUAUCUGCCAAACUCUACUUAAAUUUACAUGUGAAUAGAUAACAUUGCGCAAAGCAAUUGGAGUUUUACAAUGUCAUAUCAUUGUUCAACAGAUAACAGUUACGAAGAUAACACCAUAAAACGAAAGCAACGAUAAGACUAAGAAAGCCGAGAAAGAGGAGAGCAAAACAAAUGGAGACUUUUCUUUCAGCGGAAGCGAGAAGCAAACCAAUUGAUGAUUUUUUUUCCUGAGGUCUUUGUCUCCCAGUUAAGCAACUGGUGGACGAAGGACAUGAUCCUGAGAAGUAUCGACUGAAGCAGGAGGCAUGAACUGCCACAUGGCAACUCCUGGGUAACUGAUGAUUGGCACCAUCUUGUUUCCGGGAGCUUGGCCUUGUGCAGAAGCAAAAGCAGUUGGCAUCAUAGGUGGAGCUGGGAAAAAGCUUGGUUGAGGAGCAUUCAUGGUUUUCAGCUGUUGCUCCAGCUUCUCUUUCUCUGUCUUCAGCCUCUGUUUCUCAUCUCGCAACUCGUUUUUCUCAGUCUGAUCGAAAUCACAAGGAAACUAGUAAGCAUUUCGAUGAAUUUCAAUGGAUGACCACAAAUCAAAGAAAAUUUUUACCUUUAACUCUUUGAUUUUGUCCUGGAGACUUGAAUUGGAGUCCUUCAACUUCUGGGCUUCGCCCCGUAGCUGUGCCACCAUGCGGACAGCAUCAACCAAGAUUGCAGCCUUGUCUGUUUUGGGAGGAUUCCCAGGCUCCAAAAUUGCACCCAAUUCCGUAAACCUGUUAUUCAUUAAAAAAGGCUAUAAAUUUCAGUUCCUACGUGAGGGAAAAGAAGGAAAUACGAAAUAAAAAGAUUACUUGUCAUUCAAUCUGUCACGUCGCAGCUUCUCUCUACAUGCUUUUGAGCCAGUGGCAGAGGAUGAUUCACAUCUACCCCUGAGACAAGUAAUGACCAGUGUUACUUUUUUCCGAAACCUUGUCAAGCCAAAAGCAUUUGAAGAGAGCCAAUACAAAUCCCCCAAAACAGUUCAGUCAUGAACUGGUUUCUCAAAGUUUUAAAUUCCAGAAGUUGCUAUAGUUUCGUGUUUCAGUCAGUUUUUCGAAUAAAAGCGCGACAGAUGAAGUUUACCAGAAGAAGCUUACCUCUUUUUGGAGCCAGGUUCCUUGCUGGCUUCUGAAUUUCCAGCUGAGACAUCAACUCCCGCGCUGAAUCAACAAGAAAAAACAUCAAAGCAACUAAGUUAUUACUACAAUACAAACAAUCGAAGAGAAUUACCAGAAAUCAUUCUAACACUUAUCUAUAUCCAACAAAAGCUCCGAAAACUUAUAGUCAAUCAGGCAAAAACUUACAGCUGCUCAUUACCAAGGAACAAGAUUUAUUAAGAAUAUUUAGCAUGGUUAGGUCAAACCAGCCACUCAGAUAGAAGGCCCUAUCCACAAAAACGAAUCUAAUUCCCACCUAAUAAAGUGAUAUAGAUCAAUCGAUUCCGGAAUCUAGCAACAUGUCAGAAGUACACUAAAACAUGUCAGGCACACACACAGUUGACUUUGGAUAAACAAACCAAAGACCUCUCCUGAAGACUUCACAUCAUUUUACGAAGUGCAACGAAAUCUCACCAGCUAAAGAAACCAAUUUUUAAGCUUAAAAAGUAUAUUUCGAUGGUAAAGAAGUAACAAUAGGGUCUCAGUUUCUUCUCUAUAAGCUACUCAAACAAUCCCACAAGCUUCAACUUAGCCAAGCAAAUUACGAAGUCCACCACAAUUUUACUCUUGAAAUAUUGUUUUUUUUUAAACCCUAUGAGAAAAAAGUCCAUUUUUUUAGCUGAAUAUGCUAAUAUGUGAGCAAGUAAUUAGGCUUUUCCUUGAUCAAAAUGAAACGCCACACACUCGCAUGCCAGUGUUAACCAGAAGAAAUUCUUCAAGCAAUCACACAAACAUGCUACACUAAUUUCUCCCAAAUCAAUCUGAAGCUCUUAAAAACAGAUCAGAACCCUAAUUUGAAGCACUUAGACACAAGAGGGAAGAGCUCAAUUAAAAAAAAAACGAACCUGGAGUUUGAAGAAACGCCAAUAGGUUGCUGCACGGGCCAAGAGAAACCUGGACCUUGGAUUGUGAAACUUCCAUAGUCGGCAUCAAUCAGGUCGCAAAUCCAAUUAGCGUUUUCGGGCGACACCAUCUCCUGAAACUCCACCGGUGAAAAAAAAGGGGAAAAAAGAAUACGGCGAGUAUAUAACACUCCCGGUGAAUUGAAUUUUCCCGGCGGCGAUCAGAGAGAUCCUUUUGUGGAAGAGGGAAAUUUAGCCAAAGCGAUUUCUGCCGUUAAAUUAUAUAUUUUUGUGUGUCGAAGGAAACAUAGAAGAAGAAAAAAACUGUUGGAGGAGACGAAUUGUUGUGGAAUCUUGGAAUCCAGAGAUUAGAGUUGUUUUCACGCGCAGACUUCAUACUUUUUGGGCUUACAAGGCCCAUAUAUUAUAUCUAAUGUUUUUUUAAUUUAUUUAUUCAUUCAUUUGUGUGACAUCAUCAUAUUUUAUCAAUACAACUAGUAAUUAUAUUUUCAAGAAAAAACAAAAUCUCAACCGCUCAGCUCAAGCUUGCUUGUAUUUUAAUUUCGGUUUGAAAUGCCAAAAUAAAUAAGCUACACAAUUUAUUCAAGUAAAUAAAUACCCAGUAGAAUAUUCAAUAUGAAAAACGUAAAAAGUAACAUUAAAAGAUAGCCAUAUAAGGAAAAAAAUAUGAAGAGCAUUAUAUCUUUUACUGUUAUAGUAAGGGAUUACCAAUCAAAUUAACAAUAUCUAUCAUCACUUAGCUGGUUUUAUUUAUUUCUGAUAAUUAAAAAAAAACAUAGUACUAUGUGGUAUGUGUUUUAUAUUGCCCGUUGCUUAUAAGAUUUAACAAACGAAAUUGAUAAUUAUUUCUGAUCAGGUUGGUUGGAUUGGAUCGAAAUUAUUCGAGAACAUGGUUGGAUGGUCGUGAUCUAGGAGAUCAAACUCUCCUGCUUCCUCCCGUACAUACAUGAAAAGUUGCUUUAAAUUUUGUGAAAAUAAAGUCAAAAAUAUUCCUUACAUGAAAAACUGGUCAGUCCGAUAUUAAUAUUUUAAGUUUAUAGUGUUUUUCUAACAGUAAAAAAUUAAACAAAGGUCAAACGGUAGAAAUUUACGUUUAUUAUAACUGUAUAAUGAAAGGGCAAAUACUUUAAGUCUACAACUGUACGUAAUAUCAAUAUGCACCAUUUUGCAUAUAUUUAUAGAAUUAUAAGUUUUGCAAAUAUCUUGGUUGAAAUGCCACAAGAAUUAAGUACAGUUUUUCAAAGAAGUAUAUAUGCAGUAAAAAAAUACAAUGAAUCAGUUUUAUGAAAAAUCGAUUUUUGGUUUCAACUAUGAGACCAGUAACCACUAGAUUACCUAUCAUCACCUUCUUCUUCUUUUUUGUCAACGAUACUUAUCAUCACUCUUAAAAGAAUGUAGUAGUAUACUGGUGGUGUAAUUCACACUCCCGGUUUAACUCGGUAUUAAUCGAGACCGGUCCGGAAAGACUUCGGUUUAUAAAGAUUGGGAUCGAAGUUAAAUCGGGUGGGCCGACAUAUGACUUUCUAGAAUACCUAUUAAAGUCCAAUUUACGAAAUUGGCCGACUUUCCCGAAUUUCACGGAGGAUUUCCGAAAAUACCGGGGAGAAAAAUGUUAAAUCCCAUAUCGAGAAGGAAAAGAAAAGUUCUUCUCAAACCGCCUUAGAAUUCAUAUAAAUAGGGAAUAAUUUCAUUCAUUCGAGGCAUCCGCAAAUAAACAGCAGAGAGACCUUUGAAGAACUUUGAGAUCGUCAUCUUCCUUUGUUAACAAGGUCGUCGAAACUACGACGAUCUUAACUAAGUUGUAUUUUUCUAAACUAUCUUCUAAUAAAACGAGACUUUCGAUUCGAAUAUUACUGUUUUACCCCUUAGUGUGAUAUUACAUAUCAACAUAUAUAUGUGUUUUUUAUUUGACCAUUUGGCUUUUAUUCACAUAUUAAAUGGAUGAUUUUUUUUAUGUGAUCAGAUUAGUUGGAUUGGAUCGAAAUUAUUCGAGAACAUGGUUGGAUGGUCGUGAUCUAGGAGGUCACAUUCUUCUGCUUCCUCCCGUACAUACAUGAAAAAAUCCUUAAAAAUUUGUAGCAAGGAAAGUCAAGAAUAUUCCGUACGAAACUAUAUAAUUUAGAUCAGUUCGGCAUUUUCUAACUGUUAACAUUUCAAAAGAGGACCAGGUAUGAUCACAGAAGCUUAACACUCUAUUAUACAUAACAUAAUAAUAUUUUAACGUAUUGUUAUGAUGGAAUCUUUUGAUACAUACAUUUCUUUUCUUGAUUUGAGAUAGACAUUAAUCUUUCAACUAGCAUUGUACGUAAUAACUUAUUGUUAGUGUCAAGUUUUAAAAAUAAUAAUCUUAGAUGCCCAUCGACAUCUCAGGUUCAAAUCCAAAAUUUUACAAUAUAGGAACGGUGGAUUCUGAAAAGAAUUAGAGGAAUUUUUGGGGGACAAUAAGUAAAUUUUUUUAUCCCCCACAAUACAUAAGACGACCCUUUUGCAUAUACAUAUGUCACGUAGAGAUCAACUUAUUUUCUUCCAAAAAUGAAGGCCAAAUUGAUAAAUAGACUUAUCAGCUACUAUUGAUCAGGAAUAUCCAUCGAUACACCGUAGGUAUAUUCUCUAAUUAGUUGGAUUGGAUCGAAAUUAUUCGAGAACAUGGUUGGAUGGUCGUGAUCUAGGAGAUCAAAUUCUUCUGCUUCCUCCCGUACAUACAUGAAAAUUCCUUAAGAAUUUGUAACAAAUAAAGUCAAAGAAUAUUCCGUAUGAAACUAAAUAAUUUAGAUCAGUUCGGAUUAGUUGAAGUUAAUUAUAUACUGAUUUUCUAACUGUUAAUAUUUCAAAGGAGAACCAGGUAUGAUCAAAGAGGCUUAACACUCUAUACAUAACAUAAUUUAUGACGUAUUUGGUAUGAUGGUAUCUUUUGAUACAUUUAUUUUCUUGAUUUCAGAUAGACAUUCAUCUUUCAACUACCAUUGUAAUAACUUAUUAUUAGUGUCAACUUUUGUAAUAACAAUCUAAGAUGCCCAUCGACAUCUCAGGUUCAAGUCCAAAAUUUUACAAUAUAGGAACGGUGGAUUCUGAAAGGAAUCUUUUGGGGUCAAUAAGUAAAUAUUUAUCCCCCCCCCUAAUACAUAAGACGACCCUGUUGCAUAUACUGUAACUGUGUUAUGUGUCACGUAGAAAUCGACAUAUUUUCUUCCAAAAUGAAGGCCAAACUGAUAAAUAGACUUCAGCUACUAUUGAUCAGGAAUAUCCAUCAAUACACCGUAGGUAUAUUCUCUAAUUAUAUUUAUAUACUACUUAUUAGCAUAUUUUCUGUUGAAUUGUUUUAUAUGUACAUUGUCCUUUUAUAUUAUAGUAUUUAUAUACAUAUUUUAAUAAAACCUACACAGUUGAUUAUAUAUCCUUUUCUUCUUAUUAUAGCCUUUCACUACUAUUAUAAAAAGGAAAACAAUAACACAUACAAGACAUUCGAUAUCUAGCAUCGGCUAAUAAAAAAAAAAGAUAGGAACCCCAUUUUUUUAUAAUGAAAAUACAAUAGUUAAUGUCAAUUUGUGAGUCAUGUAAAGAUUCAUUAUAAAUAAACUUACGAAAUUUAUACUCAACACAAAGGGAUAUAUAAAAAUAUGAUCCGCCUUAUCCAAAUUGCUUUUAGAUUCAUUAAUAAUGUAUGUAGAACUGGCGUCAUAUAUCAAGUUGAGUAUCUAUAAUAAACUUCAAUAUUCUGAAUCAAAUGUUAAUAACUUAUGAAUGCAAUGAUAUAUAAUUAUAUAUAUAUAUAUAUAUAUAUAAAUAGGUAUUUGCACAAAUAUUUUAAAGUUUGACUUAUUCUUUUCCCAAGUUCCGUGGAGUGGUGGAGGCAUGAAUUUUGCCAUAGUUCCAGAUGUUCUUUUAGUUUUGCUAUCUCAAUAUUUAAAAGCAAUUCAACAGGAGUUGACUCUAUCAUACAAUAAGUUAUGGGUUUUCUAAACAGAUUUCCUUAUAUAUUCAAUAUUCAAUAUAUCCGGAGAAGAAAUCGAUUACGGCUAAAUUAAACCUAAUAAGAAUAUAAGGUUUAGUGAAUUAUCAAUUCGCAUGGAUAUCAGGAUGUUGAUGGACCAGGCCAGACUCUCUCCAAAAUCAACAUGGUGAUUUGAAAUAACUAAAACUUCUCUAGUCCAGUGAUUUUUGGUAAUAAUGUUAUUAGUCAUCUCAUAUCACCAUGUUGAUUUCAUUUUCUAGCUACCUAUCCAAUAUUACAAUUUCCAGAACAACCUAAAUAAAAAAUAAACAUUAUAUAGAAUCAAGUGAAUUCUCAGUUAUCAAUGAAAUUUUAAUACAUUGUUCCUACUUCCUACUAUAUUUAGUCCUCAGCUAAAGAAAAUCUGUUCCUUUUACUAAAACAUAUAUCUUCAUCAUCCUUAUAAAAAUUGGUAGAAUUCUAUUAAUAAAAUUCUGUUUUUGUUUAUUUCUAACUUGAACCCUUUGGAGUAAAUUAUUGGAGCUGAUAUACUUCUUGUGAAGUUUAAACUGCACUGCAUGUAUAUCUUAAUACCAGUUGAAAAUGUGUUAAUCCAUGUAAAUUGUAUUUUUUUUUUUUCAAAUCAUGUAAAUUGUAUAAAAACCAUCAAUAACUUGGUGAUUUUCUAUGAAAUAUUCCCUAUAGAAGAAUUACCAAUAAACUUCUAGACCUGAUUACUUGAUCCAAAACUCAGAGAAAUGAAUAUUUUGAAUCUCAGAGAAAAUUUAAUAUGAAUCCAAACAUCAACAAGCAAAAUCCUACUGAUCCAGAAGAAGAAAAAAAAUUACAGAAACAACAGAUUUUUUAAGAUGCUAAACAAAACUAUACAGAUUACAACAAAAGGUCUUCCCGUUAGAAUCAUCCCAUCCUUGAACCAUAUUUUAAGUACAAAUAUUCAUACAAUUAACUUAAUAAUGAUGCUUUAUAGCUUCAAGCUUCAAACCUCAAAUUCAUCUCUCUUUCUCUCAUCCAAGGCUCAAACGAUCCAAUGGCUUGAUGUUAGUCUGCCUACGCGGAGUUCCAAUCUCACAAGCGUUCACUCUCGCUGCAAAUCUAAGCGAGCAGAGAGACUCACCGGUAGAAGAAGAUUCCGGUGCAAUGUUCACAAACAUUAGCGUCUUAGAGUCACCGCCUAAGCAAGGCUGGAUGACAAAUGAAACAUAGUUUUAUCAUCAUACACAAUUUCAAGAAACAAAAUAUUUUGAUGGUGUUGUGUUUUGUAAAGUAGUUAGUACCUGGAGAAGAUAAGUGAGCUUUGAGUUUCGGUAUGGUACAUGAUCUUCUUUCUUUGCUAAGGCGAAAAUGACAUCGCCAAGAGACGACAAGCUCUUGUUGAUUGCCUAAAGAAAGAAGACAGUUUUUUAAGCUAAAAAUAUCAAGAAACACCAUAAUUUUGUUUUAUGUUUGUAAAGAACUUACUUGAGUUUCUUUAAGUCUAUCUCCGGUUGAUCCACUCUUCGAUAAACGCUCACUCCCUGCAAGAUCAAUCAGGUUCAAGAUCCCUUGUACUUGUUGCUCAGUGCUCUGUAAGAAGAUUAAACAGUUUGGUCUAUUAGACAAAACAGAAAUCAAGCAAUAGAACAAAAUAAGAAAACAAAACAGAUUUGGUUACUAAAAUACCUCGUUGACACCGGAAAUCCUUAGUGUGAAAACAAAAUGGCUUCUUGACGAUUGCUCAUUCAUCUGAGUCUUCCCUACCGAUCUAAAGAAGAAAGAAACCAACUUUAAAAACCGUGAAUCUUGAUAGCCAGUUUGUUAAUAACUCCUUUAGUUUGUAGUUAUUUGAAAUGGGUUUUACUUUUAGCUAUAUACCUGUUACGAGCAGCAUGAUCUAAGAGGAAUGAAACCUCUCGGGAGCUUUUAACAUCCAAAAUAGUAAGCUCAGCGACAUGUGUGUUCCCACUAGCAUCAUGUUUAAUAGCAUGUUUCUGUGGAGAGACGCCAUUGUCUGCUCUUACUGCUUCUUUAUUCGUUGACAAGAGAUCUCGGAUCGUUUCAUUGUAUAUUUCCAACAUAGAGACCUUUACAUAUGAAUCAAGACCAGGAUAAUCAUAUAUCUUAUUUUAAAACACUAUGAUGUAUCUUACUUGGUGGAAGUUAAAGACAAGAUUAAUAAAACAGACCUGCAACUCGUAUUUCCAACCCUGAGAUCGAAGAGACUGUCUCGUUUCAAAUAUUUGUUCCAAACAUCGCGGGAUCAGUCCUUUUUCUUCGGGAUUUCCUGGUCUACCCAUCAUUGUGUAAGUUUUACCUGAACCCGUUUGUCCAUAUGCAAAAAUGCACACCUACAAUAUGGAUUAUAACACCUUUAAUUAGUCCAACAAACAGUGAAAUACACAUAAUCCUAUUUGCCAUUUGCAGAUUUUAGUUACCUUGUAACCAUCGAGAGCACUCUGAACAAGUUGAGAAAUCUCUAUGAAAACGUCUUCUUGUGAUGCAUUUGGCAGAAAAACCUUGUCAAAUGUGAAAGAAUGCUUUUGCGCUGUUCAUAGCAAAAACACAUCAAAUGUAAAAAACUGUGUAAUGUCCCGCAAGAACCACGUUUCUGCAGAAGUUUUUAGUUUCAUACCGUUUUGCAUCAAGUCAAUACCGCGACCAAGUAGUUCUAAAGAUGAUGGGUAAGAAAUGGUUUUUCCCUCAUCACCAUUAUUCUCUCCCGGCAAUAGAGGUCUAACUCUACAGAACACACGUAUGUUGCCUUUCAAUUCCUGCAACAUGAGAGUAAACAAGGAUCAGGCAAGCUAUUAGACAAAGGGGAAGGAAACCAAGUGUGGCAGAGGUUAGGUAAGAGAAUCAUACAAGAAUAGUAUUGUGCAACUUCUUCCGUAGUUUUUCUCCUUCAACGAGUUUAAGCUCUGCUUCUUCUACGCGAGUUUUCAGGUCGAUAAUGGUUUGCUUCUGUUCUUCAAACUCAUUCAUUUUCUCAAAGGUAGUUAGAUCAGACAUCUAAACCAUAAACAAUCAAGAAUGGUAUCAAAAACUUAAGAACUUGUAAAAUCUGAUAAUAGUCAUUUGUUAAAUGUGAAACUCGAGAAUGUGAUGAAACCUGCAGUCUCCUAUCAGAAGAUACUAGCCGAUCUUGCAACUCUCGUAUCUGAGUAUCCUGGGACGAACAUGUAGCCUGGACCAAAACAUUUACAUCAUCCUGAGAACAAAAAUUAAUCUGCGGAGAAUUGUUUUGCAAGAAGUUAUAAAUGGAUAGGAAACCUCAAGCUCGAUUAUGGUGUCUUUGAAGUCAUUAUACUUGGUUGCCUCGGUUUGUAAGGUUUUUAACUCCGUUAAAUGGUGAUCACGGUCAUCUUUAGCCUGCUGAAGCUCGACCUUGAGACUGGCGAUUUCGUUUACCAAUUCGGCUUUCUGCUUCAUAAUAUCAUCUUGAGAGGCCUAGCAAUAAAACAAGACACCUAAUCACAUUUCUGACAUAAACUACAAACACUUACUGACAUUGAUCAAAUUAAACAGUCAAUCACCUUAGAAGCAGCAAGCUGAUCCUGCAAAGCUGAAAACUGACCCUUCAAGUUGCCAAUAUUUUCGACAAUGGCAGUCCGUUCUUUCUCGCCGCGUUUUAUAGUUUCGUGAGCUUCAUCAAGAUCACCUUGUAGCUUGCUGUUAUACAGCUGCAGGCUUGAGUUAUACUCUUGCAACAGUUUGUACAUGUCAUUCACCGAUUGUAUCUGAACAAACCCCAAAAAAAUACAGUCAACAUUAGUCAAAAUUAGGUGACAGCAAUUUAAAAUUUUAGAUCCUUUUGGAGUUUCCUCACCCUCUGAUUAGCCGUUUGAAGUUCUCCUUGUGCUUUUCCUAACUCUUCUGUGAGACCAGCUUGUGCCUUUUCAACAGCAAGUCUUGCUUCUUUCUCUUGUCCAAGAGAAUCAUUUGCGGCCUAAUGAGAACAUAUCAAGAGUUAAAACCAACAAAUAUGUACAAUUACACGCAAGCUUUUUUAAGUAGGAACUAGCAGCUUCUUACCAACUUCUCCGUUUGUUCCUUGGCAAGUUGAAUUUGAACAGAUUCAAAAUUCUUCCUCAGCUCCUCAAUUAUCAUAUUCAGCUCCUCUUCCUUGUUUUUCAAACUAACCUCUGUCAUCCAAAAUGCAAUCAUAUAAAGUUUAAAUCCAAAAACUCUUAACGCAAUAAUUUCAAAACUAAACUCUAAUUUGGAAACACACCCAUAUCAGCACAAUGCUUCUCAUUCAAUUCCAAAGCGUUCUUCAACUUCUCUUGCUCAAAAGCGUAAUCCAACUCAAGUUCUUGAAACCAUCUAAUGCAAAGUCUAAGUCUUUUUAUAUAAUCCAUCAUAUUCUCGCAUCUUUCCUGCAAAAUCAACCACCAAGAAGAACAUUCAAAAAUUCAAGCUAACCAACUCAGACCUAAAAGAGAUUCGGCCAAAAGGGUCAAAACACAUAAACAAAAAAGUCUUUAAUGCUUAUCAAACAAACAAAACUAUUUUGGUCCCACAAAUCAAAUCUUCUUCAAAACCAACAGAUCCAACGAGAAAAGCCAGUAAGGAAACUGAAAUUUAAGCCUAGAGAUUCUACCACAAAAGAUCAACACUUAAAACAACGUGUUGAAUGCUAUUGCCAAAAAAAAGGUCCCACAAAUUGUCUUAUAACAAAUCAAAUCUUGUUUCAAAAAACCAACGGAUCCAACGAGAAAAGCCAGUAAAACUACUUAAAAUUCAAAACUUCUUUACUCAAGAUUUAACCACUAAACUCUCUAUUAACAAGAACCCUAAUUGAUAAGCUUAUUCAUGACCACAACAUAAUCAAAUUCAAACAUCAGUCAUAAUAGCAAACAUAUAAUCUACAUUAGAUUCAUUUUUUACCCUCAUCAAAAAUUACAAUACACAAGAAGAAUAUGAGAUUCUGGUAAAAGAAAAAUAAAUGAUAAAUUUAAUGAAACCUUGUAGUUGAACUUGCUCUUGUACUUGAUUCGCUCAUUAAGAAGAGCUUCAACGUCUUCUCUUGUGAACUCAACUGGACCAUAUUCAGAUCCCGCCGUGCUCGCCGGAGCACUGUUCGAAGUCAGAUCUUUUGACCCAUUAGCCACCGGAAAAGCUGACCGGAUUCUUCCAUUGUUUGCCAUCGCCCCCACCAUAACAAGGAAAAAAAUUAUCUCUUCUUGUUACCUAAUUACUUCAAAUUUCUCUCUUCUCUGCCAAUCAAAGCAUAAACCUGCAAAAAAGGUUUGUUUUUUUAUAUCUUAUUAGAGAUCUUUAGAAAAAGAAAAAUGAUAAAUUUGGGUAAAGGAGUAAAAUGGGGAAAAAAAAGGAAGGAAACCCGUGAAGGUGAAGAUUUAAAUUAGAAACAAAAACAUUGAUUUGAACGAAAAACACACAACAUAUAUCAGAACCUAAAGAUUGAAACUUUAAGAGAGAAGAUUAAAAAGAGUAAAGAAACCCACUGAUCUUAAAAGAGAAGAAUGAAUGUGGAUUUCAGAGAAAAAACAUGCCCAGAUUUGUGAAAACUAUUGAGAAUGAAGAACACGAGAAAAGAUAAAAGGAGGACCUUUGGCAUUUAAGAGGGCUUGUAUCCUUUGUGUACUAAAAGAUUUGGGUAUAGAAAUGGAGGCACGUUUCAGUUUUGAUGUUCCUCUCGUCUCUUGCUGCUGGCUACUUCUUUCUAUAUUUGUUGUUUGAAUGUUCAGAGAGAGAGAGAAAGAGAUGAACGUGGGGCCGUUGAUUGGAUCUGAAGUCACCGAGGAAGUGCAAUCACAGCCGUUGCUUUACUAAACAGCAAAAUAAAUUAGAGAAUAAAAAUGUGAGGAGUCUUUUAGGACCAGGGGCAGUGAGGGUAAGGUCAGUGGACUUAAUUAUGACUUUAAUGAUUUAAUCCAACCCCUAAAUAAUUACAAGUUAAUUCUGAAUUCUAAAAAACAAUACAAAUCGAAUGCAAGGAGAAGUGGAGAAAAAAUGAACUGCCGAGGAUUUCUUUUCUCAGCUAAAAUUUAGUAUACAAAAUUGUUUAAAUGUUUUGUAUGAAUAAUUACAAGUUAAUCCUGAAUACUAAAAUAAACAACAUAAAUCGAAUGCAAGGAGAAAAAAAUGAAUUACCGAGGAUUUGUUUUCUCAGCUAAAAAUUAGUAUACAAAAUUGUUUAAAUGUUUUGUAUGAAUAAUUACAAGUUAAUCCUGAAUACUUACAAGUUAAUUCUGAAUACUAAAAUAAACAACAUAAAUCAAAUGCAAGGAGAAGGGGAGGGAAAAAAAAAUGAAUACCGAGGAUUUCUUUUCUCAGCUAAAAAUUAGUAUACAAAAUUGUUUAAAUGUUUUGUAUGAAUAAUUACAAGUUAAUCCUGAAUACUAAAAAAAACAACAUAAAUCGAAUGCAAGGAGAAGUGGAGAAAAAAAAAUGAAUUACAAACAUGUUUUUAGAUGGAAUCUUUUUGUUUGCUUCUAACCAACGACGUAAAAUAUCUUACCAUAGACUUGUAUUGGUAAUCUCACAGAUUUAUAAUUGGAAAUUGAAUAAACUAAUACUGAUUAUUAAAAAAAAAGCUAACAAUAACGUGUCGGUAAAAUGCGAUACGUCAGCAUUUUUUAUCAAGAGAUUCCUUUCAGAAAAAAGUGGAUAUUUGAUCUUACCGAAAUUACCCUUAGAAUCGCUCCAAAUAUUGCUCAUAAAAGUCACGUUUCUGGCUUGAAAAGGUAUGGGCUAAAAUUGUCCGAACGAAAAAUUGUCUUCUGUCGUGUAAUUCUUAGAUUCUGUCUCGUACCCUGACGAGAUGUCAAAUUUCAUGUGAAAGUCUAAUGGUCUGAGCAGCGAGCUCAAUUUGGCAGUUGAAAUGUCGUCGUUGAUGUAAAUGGACGUAAUUAAAAUAUCAUGCAUUGAAUUAAAAAAGACUUGUGAGAUACAUUUUUUCGGAUAACUGAUAUUAAUAUAACUUUGGGGUUCAAAAAGGUAAGUAUCACCUUAAAUGGUCGCAAUUCAAAACCAAAAAAAUGUCACAAAAAAUUUAGGUUAGUGAAUGGUGACAUAUAGACAAGUAUGCUGACAAAAAAGAAGAGGCAUUUAGUGCAUUCGAGACGCACUAAUCAUUUCUCAACUUUAUACACUCUAAUAAUUAUAUUCCUAAAUCGGAUCAUGGAAUACACAAAAAAAAAUAAAAAUUAUUAGUCUGUUUAAUUUCAUAGUGUUGCAAACUUUUUGAUUCACCUUUUAUUUUCUUAAACUAUUAUGUAAAUAAAUUUCUGACUAUUGAGAUAAUGAGAUGUGUUUUGAACUUGGUGCAUAUUUCCAGAUUUAAAAAUAUAUUAAUCUGGAUAAAGCACAUACUACUUUAUGCAAAGGUGAUUAAUGGGGUGAUGCAAGGAUCAUGCCAAAUCUGAUAUAGUCAAACUAUAUCAUAUGAAUUAGAUUUAUACUUUAACAAAAAAAUAAUGAAUUAGAUUUAUGUAUUAUUAUAAAAUGUAUUAGACUAUGGGUUUUGUAAAAAUCGUGGCGUCGAAUAUCAUGUUGAACAAGUCUAGAACUCCGACUUCGCAAACUGGUAUAAUAUAUGAUAUAAAAUGCAUUUCAUAGUUAUGAUUUCUAUGAUUUGUGGUCUGCAUGUAGCUUAUAAUUGAAAUUUUAUUGUUAGCAGUAGUGGUCUCCACUGGUUUUUUUCGAUUGAUUAAGAAAAUACAGCUAAAUUUUUAUAAGACAAAUUAUUUGAACUCCGAAACCUAUUUUUGAUCGUUGCCUUCAAACAACUUUGUUUUCUAAAGCGGAUGUGUUGAUAUUAGACGCGGACGUUAAAACUAUUGAAAAUUUAAUAUAGUUGUGACUGAAAGCUAUGUAAACAGAUUGUUUAUAAGAAUUAAAAUAUUUUUUUGUACCGAAGGAAAUUAAAAAUUAAAUCCCACGUCGUAAACCUGUUUUUAUUUAAUCUCAUGACCAACAAACCGUAUAUUUAAUCUAUGUUCUCCUUAGUAAGGAAUAUGGUUCAUAUAAUUUUAGUACUUCAAUUGCGUCAAAUGGGUGCCAAGUAUUUUUUUCUCCUUUUUUUCGUUGCAACUUUAUCGAAACGUGAAUUAGUUCAUCGGAGUCUUCAGCGUUAAGCCAUGAUGGUUUACUCCCACUUAUCUAACUGGAUCAAAUUAAUUUGGAAUUCUAUACAAUAUUUUCGGAUUAAUAUUAUAUUACAGAAUCUAAAAUCAACAUGUUUUUAACCCCCCAAAAAACAACUAAGAUUAUAGCAUCAGAUUGUAAUUAACGAUCUACUAUUUGCAACCGACUAAUUUUACAAUUUAUAAACAGUGUGACCCAUUAUACAAUAGCGUACAAAUAAUUUUUUAACCGUUCUCCAUAAAAAAUAUAUAUAUAACGUACAAGAAGUCUCAAAAAUCUAAAAUCCAUCGUCUGAAAUUUCUUACAUAAUUUCGUAAAAAUUAAAUUCGAAAUACAGUAUUAUAUAGUCUUAACAUAUUGUCAGAAAGAUGAUUUCUUUCGUAUGAAAUUGUUAAGGAAAUGCACCAAACACUUCACAUGAAGAAAAGGUUGUUGCCAAAUCUAUUUUCAAUUUAUGGUCAAGAGUUCGAAAGUUUCACCUAAAGUCAUUUUCUCACAUCAAACGUAGACCUACUUCCUCGGUUAAAAGAAUAGUUUAAUACUGUUCUGUUAUAUACUUAACUUGUUCCACUAACACUAUGAAAACCAUUAAAGAAGGACAAUUUAGCAAACUAGUUUUUUUUGUUUAUCAUUUUCCAUUCGAGCCAUUUUAAAAUCGAGGAAAGAGUUUUGAGAUCUCCAAAAACUUAAAUCUUGCAUUGUAUGGAAUUUUCAAUCUCAUUCUUUUGAAUAUGAAGAAAUUAAAAUGUAAAGUAAUUAUCAUCUAAACCUAUUUUUAGAACACCAAUGGAUAUAUUAUAUAUAUGUCAUCCUUUUUCUUUUUAAUUUAUGUAAAAUCAAAUAAGUGGUCCACUUUGGAGUUUUUUCUGUACCUCCACACAAUAAUAAUUACUCUUACUUCACCUAAUCGGUAAAACCGACCUCACGCAUAAAAUUACUGAUGUUAGAGGAAAAUGCUAACCAAGUGAAUAGUAUGGAAAGAAUGUUCAGAUCAGGGAUGGAUUAAGAAUAGUUAUUGAUAUGAGACAGUAAUCUCUUUGGAUUUUGUUUUAUAUGUUCAACCUAGAAUGAAAAAUGCCGAUGAAUAUUUGAAUGGAGUCACAUCUUUGUGGAAACAAAGGAUUCAGUACAUGAUGGGUAUUACUUCUAUUGGCGAUGGCAAAGUAACGUCUAGCUACUACAAAUAAUAUUUCAAGAAAAUUUUCACUAUUUAAAGUGAGAAGUUAGAAUCCAAUGAUAAUACAUUAAUGUUAUCCAACUGAAGAAAAAUGUAGGUUUUGACAUAUGUAGUCCAUAUUUGCGUCGGUUACACUGGUGAUGAUUUUUCUACCUAUUGAAUGGAUCCUAACUUCUAAGCAUAAACUAGGUGUUUGAUUCUAAAGCCCAUAUAUAAGGAAAUAUAAUUCAAGCCUAUUUACAUUUCGCAUGUAUUGGGUUUUAUUAGAUUCAAUAUUUCAAUGUCUCAAACGCUAGCAAAAAAUUAACGACAUAUGUAUAAUAUUCUUUGAACAUUUUCCACCCGUUCCAAGAAACAUGGUGUUGUUGAAAGUAAUCAGGAAUUAGUAUUAGACAAAGAUCGAAAUGCUACCCAAUGAAUCGGAAAAUUGAGUUCUUGUAGUGUUAUUAUAGUUUAAUAGUGUUUGAGACUUUAUGGGGAGCUCGUCGAAAUAGCAUAUAAGUUUGGGCUAAAUAUUACUGGUUAAAGUCUUGCCCUUGAUGCGUUUUAGACUAGGCUCAGGCUGCGCUUAUAUAUUGGGGCUAAAUACCCUAUUCACAUGUCAUUUAACUAAUACCCCGAAACCAUAUGCAUCUAGUGCAAUUUCCCCUUAUAUAUAAGAAAAAAUAAAACUCCAUAAAGUGUGUAGUUCUAGUAAAUCUAUAAUCUAUAUUACUAUAUAGUCUAAGUAUACGAUUUUCCGAUCAAAUAUAAUAAACAUGCUUGUACGCAUGUAUGUAUAUAAAUGUAUCAUUCAUAAUCUGUGUGUCCACCACAGAAAAUCAUUACAAAUCAUUCUAUAGUUAAGAAGGAAAAACCUAAACUUAAUGAUACUCGUAAGGGGCAAGGCCACAUCAGAUUAAAACUUGUUCUUGGAAUUAAUCUUGGGGAUUUUGAUCUCUAAGAAAGAGUGGUCGUCUUUGUUGGAGAGAAAAGCUUCGGAAGUUUUGGGAUCGGCGUCGCCCGGAAGCUCGACACGGCGGACAUAGCCAUAUUCCCACCACCGGCCGCUUCUCCAGUCGCUGUUGGCCACUGUUUUCUUGUUGCUGUUCCAUUUGCCACUAAUCUCCAUCACUUUUCCGGCCACGUCCACGUAUACCUGCACAUUAUUUUUUCCCACCACUAGCCAAGUACCAAAAGUUUAAUCAGUUUUUUUCUUGAACCUUCAAGAAAAAGAUUACAUCACUUAUAUUUUCCAAAUCAUUUUAGUCUUUAUAGAUUAAAUGAGUUUUUGGCUCCUUGUUACGUAGUACUUUAACCAAUUCCUUUUUUUUUCGUUUUUUAAUGGAUCUUUUAAAAACUAUUUUCACUUUUUAGUGUUUUUAUCAAAAUUGUCUAAAUCCCAUAACAUUAAACCACAAACUCUACAAUAAUAGUUUUCCAAUGGAUCCAUCAUAAGGUAUUUAUAACAUUUCUCAUUUCCUUGACGCAUACGUAAAAUUUUCAAAUAGAAGUUUUUGGUUCACAUUAAUACGGUUUUAUUUGUUGUAAUAGAGAAUUAGUUAAAGCAAAGCCAAAAAAGGUAUGUAUCCAUUUGGCAUAUUUGAAUCAAGCAUAUCUUAUUUUAUAGCCUAAAUAUUAAUUCGGAAUGAGAUCAUUUCUUCUUGGUUCGGAUCAAUCUAUCGGACUACAUUACUUUAUCAACGACGUAAUAAAACAUUAUUCAUAUUUCUCACUUGCUCAAGCUAAAACGAAAGAAUAUUUGUUUUUUGAUAAAAAACUACUACUAAAGAAUAUAAAUAGGAGAAUUGUGGCAUAAGAAAGACGUAACGCACCGGGGAGAUCUGAUUUAAGGACAUAAGCUUGAUCGGUUUGAGACCAAUCGACUCUACACUGUCCUAAGCUCCUGAGGCCGUCCAACAAAACCUCCGACUCAAACUCCCAUAAGGGAAACGCAUCCGACGGAUCAAAGUACUUCCCGAACAAGAAGGGGCUGAAAAGAGAUCCCUCGCCGAACACAGCCUUCUCCGAGCCUCCUCCGCCGCUCAAGAACCUCCGGAAAACUUCUUCGCCGAGCGGUACGCUCCAUUUUCCCGGCGUCUUGUCGUCGGUGUGGAUCUCUAGUUUAAGACUUCCACUACUACUCGUCAUGAGAGAAAUAGAGAGAGAGAGAUUGAGACGAAUAAUAGAAAAAGGAAAGUGUGUGUGUGUGA
rnacentral:lncRNA from 1 species